rnacentral:lncRNA from 1 species
CAUAAGCUAGCGGGACUCAAGUAGCUAGAACCACUCCCAUGGCUCCCCAAAAGAUUGGUAGCGUUAUUUUCUUUGUGAUAUUGAGUUUAGGCAUUUGUUCUGCCACUAGAGCCCUCUUCACUAGUGAAGAAUUAUUAGGAGGCAGGAUUAAUGUUGCUAUAGGGGGGGUUGGUGGUGGUAGUGGACAAGGCGGUGGUGCCGGAUAUGGAACUUCUGGUGGAGGACAUGGCGGGGGUGGAGGUGGAGGUAGCGGUGGUGGCGGUGGUGCUGCUGCUGGGGGUGCUGGGUAUGGAAGUGGGGCGGGUGAAGAGGAGGUGCAGGGUAUGCUGCUGGUGNNNNNNNNNNNNNNNNNNNNNNNNNNNNNNNNNNNNNNNNNNNNNNNNNNNNNNNNNNNNNNNNNNNNNNNNNNNNNNNNNNNNNNNNNNNNNNNNNNNNNNNNNNNNNNNNNNNNNNNNNNNNNNNNNNNNNNNNNNNNNNNNNNNNNNNNNNNNNNNNNNNNNNNNNNNNNNNNNNNNNNNNNNNNNNNNNNNNNNNNNNNNNNNNNNNNNNNNNNNNNNNNNNNNNNNNNNNNNNNNNNNNNNNNNNNNNNNNNNNNNNNNNNNNNNNNNNNNNNNNNNNNNNNNNNNNNNNNNNNNNNNNNNNNNNNNNNNNNNNNNNNNNNNNNNNNNNNNNNNNNNNNNNNNNNNNNNNNNNNNNNNNNNNNNNNNNNNNNNNNNNNNNNNNNNNNNNNNNNNNNNNNNNNNNNNNNNNNNNNNNNNNNNNNNNNNNNNNNNNNNNNNNNNNNNNNNNNNNNNNNNNNNNNNNNNNNNNNNNNNNNNNNNNNNNNNNNNNNNNNNNNNNNNNNNNNNNNNNNNNNNNNNNNNNNNNNNNNNNNNNNNNNNNNNNNNNNNNNNNNNNNNNNNNNNNNNNNNNNNNNNNNNNNNNNNNNNNNNNNCUUCUUUUUACCAAUAAGUAUUAUGAAAAAUAAAUUUGACUGCGGUAAGAAGAUGGGUUAUAUUAUAAAUACAACGAAUGUAAAAAAGCCAAAGGCAAGCUAUCCGAGUCUGUAUCAAUUGAAACAGAUCGAAUGCUAUAAUUGCAUUAGUUCAUAAAUGGACAUGCAAUAUUGAUCGUCCAUAUUAAUAUGGAUAUGAAAAUUGCUUUUCUCAAUGAGAUUUUAGUCUUUGUAGAAUAACUUUAAAAAGGCUAGGAUAAGACCUCAGCAUUGCUCAAGUCCAGAAGAUUAUGUCAUUGCUUAAGUCCAGAAGAUUAUGUAUGAAAUUUUAUAACAAGAAGCAUGGAGAGCAAAUUCAUAUUACAUCAGAAAAUCUUGGGAGAAUACACACUUGCCAAACAAAAGUUGAUUAAUUUGAUAGCUUGACUCAAGUGAAAACAAAUAAAACCCAUGGCCAAGUUACUCCCCCAAGGAGUUAUUGCAUCUCUAUAUAAGCUCAUCAGCCUCUCCUCUUCUGCCAAUAUCUUUCUUUGUUUCUGCAUUCCUUCCCUUGUUGAUCAAGAUCAUGGCACGUCCUUCCGAUCUUGAUCCUCGGGGUCUUGAUGAAGAUCUUGUGCUCGUUUCUUAAGAAUUCCCUUCAAGUGGUCACAGAUCAUCAGCUGCGGAGUCGGUAGCAAAGAGGCCGGUGACUCUCCAACGGCGCUGUCACUAUCUAUCAUGGGCCGUCCCUUUAUCAUAUCAACUUCCCCCUCUUCGUUCAUCAUCACCAUGUUACAUGGAAGCUUCCCGGCGUAAAAUUUUCUAUCAUUCUUUUGAUGCCUGUACAGAGAGAUCCCAUUAAAGUACUAGCUAAAAUUUGACAAAUAGUAUAUACUGACCAAAGUUUCAUUUUGAUUAACUAUCUUAUCAGUCGUUUUGAUUCUCAUACUUUGAGAUGUAUGCCUAGCAAGGACGUAACCUAACUUGUAUUAAGAUUUUUUGUUACAAUUGGUUCUUUAUGGACGAAAAUUUGUCUAAAUAACAAAGUAGUCUUUCCGGUAAAAGUGUGUCCGAAGGAAAACCCUAGCUUUUGUUAAUCCUAACCCAUCACCUUCUAUGAAAAUCUUAACAGAAGUUAGGCUCCAUCCUUAUUGGACAUACUUCUCAAAAUCUGAAGAACUAAAUAACUGAAUAAUGUCGAAAUCUUUCACUGUAAUGCAUGGUAUACCUAUCGAAGACCACCCAUGUCGCAUGAAGGGUUGUAAUUUGCUCAACAACCAGCAGCCGUGAGGGAUAACCCAUUAUAACUUUCUUCUGGGGAAAAACCUGCAAUUAACAUUCCAUACACAUGCAGAAUGUUAGACGAGCAUAAGUAUAUAUAUAUAUAUAUAUAGAGCUCCAUCGUUAACUAUACCCCAUAUUUGUUGCAAAGGUCCACCACUUUUUGAAGCUUUAGAUAUUUGAGGUCGCUUUUCCACUCAUUUUUCUCUUUGACAAAUGACAAUUCUUCUAGUCCCACCGGCCAAACAUCCAGCCAUGUCUUGGAAGAGACUGCACAUUUACAAUCACCACCCAAGUAUUCCAUUUUAUAUACGAAGCAAAACCUUGUUUGGAUUAAAGUAAAUAGCCAGCUAUAGAAGCAUGACAUGUAAAUAAAAUCAAGGAAAAUUCUAGAGAACUUCGUCUUUUUAUGUCAUUUGUGUGUAAUUCCAUGAAAUAUUGAAUAAUCAAUUGUAAAUUAACACAUCAACACCUACACUAUGUGGUCUAAUUAAAAAUCCAAUACCCUUAAGCUUUUGGGGUGGCCGAAGUACUAGAGAGGGUGAGUAGGGAAAUGAGUUAGGAUUAGGCUAGGUCAAUGGUUCGAUUUCCUUCCACUAUAUAGCGUUAGGCGAUUUUUGUGGUGCAGGCUUGUUUUAUUACGUACUCAACUAGAAUUAAAAGCUCAAGAUUGCCAUGCAUUUAGAUCACUCAUAUGCAUAUACUAAAGAUUAAUGGAUUGAGGAUACUAGAAUCACAGUACUCACGGGGAAUAUUAAGCCAUGGCAUGACACCAAGAAGAGUGACAGUAGAGCCAGCGUUGAUUACAUUCUCAAGGGCCCAUUCAAGCGGCUCCGUCGUGAACUCUUUCAUCCCAUCCAUGACGAUGAGCACAUGUUUUGUAAUGUUCAUCGACUCUGAUGACCCGUUCGGCAUACGAUAUGUUGCCAGUGCUCUGUUGUUCCAGCUGACAACCGAUUGUCGCAUUAUUAUUUUCUUCUUCUUCCCUCCUCUUUUGAAGAAAACAACCAUAUUAUGUAAAAGUUAACAAUUUUUUUAAAACUUUACUAAGCCGGCUUAGUUCUUGUGCCAAUCUUCAACAUAGAGAGAAGAAAAAAAAAAAUUGAUCAAGUACCGAAAUCGGAAUUGUUACAAGGGCUCAACAUUUCUUAAAUAGAUCCCAACUUUGUCAUGAGGGAAAAACUAAACUCAGGGAUUGAUCAAACCGAGGAGUGUACAUAGUUAUAGUACUUUGACACAAACAAAGAUACGUUGGCAAUCUACUGUCAUGCCUAGGAGUAUAGGAUUUCACAAAUUUUGGUUUUCCCUAGAUUAAUAUAAGAUGCUCAUUCCUAAAUCUUAUCUCCAACCUCUAACCUAAUUGACUAAUUGAUGAGCCGGGGCCUAUUGUUACUAGGAAGUUGUAGGCUCACCAACAAUUAUUAUAGUGAUCAUGUCAAAGUCUUUGUCCUGUUCUUUUUCAUGUUUCGAGCAUACGCAUGUGUCUUCUCCUUUGUGGAUUUUAUGUUGGAUACCGAUGACAACUUUCAUUGGUUGGCCAAAGCACCAAUAGUUUUCUUUUCUUAUCCAAAUUGCAACAUUACUCCAAGAGAAGUAACGUCAAGCCCAGUUAUCUAGUUUUUUUCUUCUUCUUGUUUUGCAUACUCAACCUAAGCAUUUUGUAUUAGUAAUAAUGCUACAAAGCACUAUAUUUUGUUUUAGAAAUUGCACCCGAAUUAACGAGUGCAGAUGACAACUUUUUUGGUGUGUUAAUAACAGCUCCCUAGUUUAAAGGGUUAGUAUUAAGGCUUUAUGGGUGAAACAAGAAAUCAAUAUAAUCGAUGCUAAGAAGCUAGAACUGGUGUGUAUGAUUGGCAUGAAAAUGGGUAUGUAACACAAGCAGAUUCAUUUCACAUGCUGGUGGUAUAUGACUACAAAAGUGUUUUCUGCUUCUUUUAUUAGAAAACUUGAGCACAUAUCGAGAGUUGUUUUUGACCUUCUUUAAACAACAAUAAUAAGAGUGCUAGUAUAAUACUGCAAUAGCAAAAUUAGUUACGUUUACAUUCUCUAAGACCAAACCUUUGUGUGUAAGCAUUAAAGUGGUUUGGAGUCCAAUAAUGGUGAGUGUCGAGUUCACAUGCCGUUCAAGAAUGAACAAGUUACCUUAUGGAAAAUCAUUCCCUCCUUCCCUCCUUCCCUCCUUCCCUUGUAAGUAGAAACUCCUACAUUCCUACCAAUAACAAUAUGAUAUGUGUAGAAGUUUUUCUUUUUGUGUUUGUAGACAUAGAAAUUUUAGUGAAUUAAAAAUUCACUAAUUUACUUUCAAUAGUCAAAAUUCAAAAUUUGGCUAGUCAAAGAUAACUAGAAAAUAUGUGGAUCCCACACAAAUACACGUGGCACAUGACUCACGCAGACAAAGGUGUGCACCGGAGAUGACACAUGUUAGCAUCUAAGAGCUUCAUCAAUCCAAUGAAAUCAUAUGCCAAAAAGGAAUAAAUUAUCCUUAUUUGGUCAUCUUCCUAAAUCACGAGUUAAUUUCCCUAAAUGAAAGAUUUUGACGUAAUUAACAUCUAAAGUAAAUCAAUUAGCUCAAAUUAAAUCAAAUUAGAAAUCAAUCCCACAAAUCAAGGGAUUCAGAUUGGGGAUUCCAAACCAAGACCCAAUUCUUUUCCUAUAAAUACUAGGCUCAUAUUCGCGAGAAAGGACCUUCACCUCACUUUGUUUCAUUUUGGCUCAAUUUGGGAGUUUUUGUUUGAUUUGGGUUUAAUCGAGCCCAGUCAACCGGCCCACUCUGAUACCAUGUUAAAACUUCAGAGGGACGAACUUUUGGCCCAUCACUAACAAUAUUGAUAUUGUCCCCAACUUAACCACCUGUUUAGCAGGUGUAUGGUUUGUACAAAAAUUCUCAAUGUUAUUAGAAGUGAAACCAUUUAUUAUAUGGAACUUUCUAUUUUGUUAAGUUUCCGAUGCGGGACUCGUGUUCUUGUCUCAUUUGUCGCAAGAUUUUCGUUUUUACAGUGUUCUUGAUGAAUUAUUUUUGCACAUGUGUCAAACUGUGAUUUGCAAGCCCGAUGUCAAAGUUUCAAUGGCUAUCCAAGUCAUGAUUGCCUUUAGGAAAGGUAAGUGGUUAGUUCCAUACAUGUUACUUAUGUCAUCCCUCUUAUUCUUUGAGAUUUCUUGUGAGAUUUCUAUGCGUUUGAAUCUGUAUCUCCUCCAUACACUUAGGGUUCCGUUUGAAUAUAUUCAAUUCUCCAAACCUCCAAUCAUAUUCACAUUGUGACUUGGAAACAAGUGGUUGGUGAACUUCUGCCUCAAGGCUAUUGAUAAACAUGGCUUAGUUUCGUGCCGCCAUUGAGAAGAUGAGGGGAUCAAGUCUGCAGGUGGAUAAGUAGCAAGAGUGUGGACUAGGUCCUGCAAUAUUUUGAUUGAUUGAUUUCUAGUUUUUUGAAACCCAAUAUGAAACUUGUGAUUAGUUGGUAAAUUGAUGAAAUUAGAGGUCAAUAUAAUUGUUUAUUUGAUAGAUAGUAGAUAGCUUUUGGCCCCUUUUAAGGAAAUCCUCUCACUGAAUAAAACAAAAGAAAAUUGGAUUGCUAGCUUUCUAUUCAUGUGACCCAAGAAUUUCGCUAUUUUGAUUUUGCUAGUGCUUGGUAUGGCAUGGCAACAGAUAAUUCAGAAUCUAAAUAGGUCCAGUCCAGGGGCAAAUCAAUAGGAAAUGCUAUUUGCUUUGUAAGAAUAAGAAUAAACUUCAAUGAAAUGAAAGAGUUUCGUAGGGAUUGUCUUAAUCAUCAGAUAUCAUUGAGAAAUAACAAGUGUUAUCGAACGAUUUCUUACAAUUCUUCCCAGUAUGGAACCGAUAACAGAAAAUGUUGCAAGGUCACUCGUGCAAGCAAAACCAUAUAUACUCCAAAAGAGGUUGUCGCAAUUGAAACAGUAAUUCAUUCCACAAGUAAGCAGAAAAAUUUUUGGCAAAAGAAAUAAAAAGAUGCCAGAUAAAAUAUAUGAACAAACUCCUCUUCUAUUUUUCUGUUCAAAUGAAAUAUUUGAACAAGCUCAUCUUUUACAUUUGCGGCUGAGCUAGAGAAAGCUUUAGCAAGCAGAAACCUGGAACAGCUCACCGUAAUGCCGCCGCCACAGGACGCAUAGAUUUAUGACUACCACCAGGAGGGCUGACCUUUUUGCAUGGUGAUGAUCCCACUCUCUUCCUUCUCUUGUUCGAAGAACCUUCACUUUGAGGCCCGACCAUGGCAGCAAGAAGUUGGCUUCCCCUGUCCCUUGUCAAACUCUUUUUUGAAAGAUAUCUGAAAGCUUCAAUUCUCUUUGAAUCAUCUACAUCAUUGUUGGAAGGUCUUUUACAGAGCGCAUUGUCUGCUGACUUCAAAUGAUCACUUCGAAUAAUAUUGUUCAAUGAUCUUUUGCAGGCCACAUUGUCCACUGACUUGGAAUGAUCGCGCGGAAGACAAUAUAUUGGCUCUGAAAAAUUCAAUUCGACCUCAUUAAGUUAGUUGCAUUCAUAAAUUUCAAGGGAAAGGUAAUAAAAUCUUUUGAUCAGAGUGUAUUUGCUUACCUGGAGACUCAAAAGAAGGCAGAUCAGGACUAGGAGAUCUGGGUGGUGUCAUAGGAUGGAGAUAAACUUUAGGAGACCUUUUAUGGCACCUAUUUCCACCAAGAGACGAUGUACUACAUAUAUUCUCAUUGUUGUGUGAUUUUCCAUCAAAGGAGUUACUUGCCCUCCCUGGAGUUGAAGCAUCAAUCACAGCAGCACUAUCUUUAGUCUCCUUGGAACAACCAUCGGCUGCAUCUCUAGUGUCAAUGACCUCAACCUCUUCACAUCUUGCUCGAGGCAACGAAAGAGUAAUUCUCUCAUGAGCAUCUCCGGGUUCAUUGGCAACACAACAAUCAACAUUGUUUACACUAGGAGAUAAAAUACUGACACUCUCGACAUUCUCUAGGACUGACUUAGGUGAUGUAUUCGUCAUAGCUGGAUCCAAGCAUGGCUUUAGUGAUUCCACUAUGCUAGAAAACCAAGGAGUACCCUGCCUUGCAUAGAACAGAAUGUAGGCCUCCUGUGACAGAACAAAUUCUUCUUGAACCCUAGUGACCUACAAAAAUAACAGUGGAACUUUUAGUGUAAAUCUUAAUACUACUAUAUUUGAGGGUAAAACCUGAUGGAAACAAUCCAAUUACCAUAGAUCAUCAUUACCGUUUAUUGCAUGUAAACAUACAACAAGAACAAAGAUCAUAUCAUAAAGAUCGUUUAUACAAAAACAAAUGAAAGAAGCCAUGAAUGGCAAGACAAUCACUUCCACACACCAGCUUCACAAGAAUUACAAAGUCAUGCAGAUAAAACAGUUACAAUGAAUUGUUUAUUACGGAAUGCAUAAAGAAAAUAAUUACCUUUGAGUCAUCCAACCUAUGCCAUGUAUCUGGAGAUGACCGAAUGAAGCAAAAGUAAUGUCCAGAAGUAGAUGAGAACCCAACAUGCUCCACAAUUGCAUAAAGUUCAUACUUCAAUUCCACCUAUUGCCAAGAAACAGGAAAUUAGAACUAGAGAGACCACACCAUUCUUUUUCUUGAUUAAAAUUGGAGGGAAUCGAAUCUUGGAUCUACCCUAAUCCUAACCCAUUACCCCACCAUUUACAGAUAACCCCCAAGGGCUUGAGAAACAACAGCCAUUUAAACAUAGCUAAAACACAAACAUGACAUUCAGCUAACCUUCAUUUUUAGAUCAUUUAACCAUUAUCAUGUGUUAAAAAAACCUUGCAUUUCUUAUAAGUUAUAACUGAUACCAAUUUGAUUAUGAAGAAACUAAAGGCAGCAAUCACAUUACUGUUGGUCCCACUGGUUGACUAAUAGUCCAAAUCCGAAGGAAAAUCAACAUAUUCUGUGUAAAAAAUAAUUAUAAUAAUAAUAAGCAGCAACUCACAUUAUUGUCACUGCCACUGGUGUAGGGCUUCAAGUCCAACUCCAAAGGAAAUUCUACAUGUUUUUCAAUCUUCUCAACAUGAGAUCCAUCAGUCUUAAAUCUCUUCAGAUGAAAUGCAGCAACUGGAGGGGCCUGGUCCACCACAAGCUGCUUCUCCACUGAUACUUCUUCCUUGCAGUUCUCACAUGUAAACUUUGUCUCCAAGUCAUUGAUAGUUUCUAUCUUAGUGAAGGACUCCAGGGCCCUUUGGAGAGUCUCUGCAUCUUCAAUCUCCAAACUCAGAUCAAUCAGAGGUUCGUAAGUGUCAGAACAGUGACCACAAUUGCAACAUCGAAGCUGAAAGUAAUUCAUACACACAAAAAUCAAUAAGAAUUAUAAUAAAAUAUUGAUUUUCCAUCAAAUUUAACCAUAGCAGAAUGAAUCAUGGCAAUCAGAUAUGGAGUCAUACUUUGCUUAGGAGACGACCACCAAAAACCCUUUCCACAAGAUUAUGGUCUUGGGCAGAUGGACUCUCCUUUUCCAACGAAUCCAAACAAGAUUUCUCAAGUUUGUCUAAGAAGCAUUGCAAGAACUCAUGGGCAUCUUCUUGCUGGUAUCUUUGGAAGAAAGAUGAGAAAUCUAGUAGCAUGAGGGUUAAGAAUCACAUUCGGAUGUAAACUUCUCAGGGUAAAACUACAGAAUUUUCAAAGCUUCAGGUAGAAUUACAUAUUUCACAACAAAAAUUAGUGCAACUGCUCAAUCAAAAUCAAUCACUUGUAGGGGCUUCAUAAGUUACUCUCUUUUUUUCAUUCAAAACAAAGAAAAGAACAAUCACAAUCACAAUUUUAUGCCCAGAAAUCUCAACACGUAUGAUCAAAAGGAUACGAUUCAAAUUGUCGACAAGUUUCCAUGGUGAAAUAACUCUUCCUGAAGAGGCUACUGAAAGAUCAACAUGGUCGUGAAGAGCACAAAGAACACAGAAUCCUUCACUACCACCUACACAAUCCCAAUUUCAGAUUUUAAAUUAGUACAUUUAUUAAGAAAUCAGCAAAACUAACUAGCUGCAUAAAGCUUCCAACAAUUAAGAAAAAUAUCAGAUAAGAACAUAAAGCAAACGCAAUAGAAACCAAGGCCUUACGAUCACAGGGCAUGGAAUGACUGCAAGAAUGAAGACCCUCCACGAGUGGCACAGUGUGCGUGAAGCAUUGCAGAAUUGCAUUCAUAAAGCAUGUGUUGCCUAGAUUUGCAAGCCCUGCACCCUGCAACACCAAAACGACAACAAAACUUAACAUCCCAAAAUUACUUAGACUAAAAUUAAACGCAAAAUGAAUAAUAAUUAUAAUUUUUAAUGUAAAAUAAAUGCAAAGUUUCAAACAGGUUCAAAGCAAAGGGGCAUACCACCAUAGAGGGCUUUGUUUCACAUAUUGAAAACUGGGAAUCCGAGGAAAUCACUGAUUCCUUGGUAGAAUUCGACGACCACCGAGAAGACCAAGAAGGUGCGGAAGACGACCACCGCGAUAGUCCUGAAGACUCCGAAUGUGGAUCCGAUUCAUAAUUUGAUAAAUCGUUACCAACAAUUUUGAGAGGCGAAGGCGGUGAUGGUUCAUCUUCUUGGCCUUCUUCAACAGAUGGUGAAGACCCAGUUGGGUUUGGCAAAGAAGAAUCCGAAGCCAUAUCGUCUAGGGCUUUGAGAGGUGAAGAUGGCGAAGACCCAUUUGCAUUUUCUGCGAUAGAAACCAAAGCAUGGUCAUCUACGGCUUCCUUUUGUGAAAAUGGCGAAGACCCAUCUAGGGUUUCUGCAAGAGCAGGCAUUAAAGCUGGAGAGGUUGAAUUUCCCACUUGGGUCUUCGUGAGAAGUGAGUCUGGAGGCAAAAGGUUGGCUUCUGAGAGAUGAAUUUUCCACUGAAGCUCUUGAGAUUCUAGAAAUGGGCUUUUCAACGAACUGAAAAUUGAAUCUGAAAUUGGAAUUUGGGGUUGGCUCCACGAAUUAGGAGGGAAAUGGGGAUUUGGGUUUUGAGAAUUUUGCUUUUAAAAUAUUUUUGGGGGUUUCGGGAAGUUGAAGCUGUCGGUUGAAAGGAGGGAAAGGCGAAAAAAAGUGUUUCGAAAAUUUUUGGGUUUUGGAAAAGGAGGGAAAACUCCAAAGUCUCCUCCAAUUUGGUACCAAAGUUCAGAAAAGAGAGGGAAGAGAGAGACGGGAAAGAUGUCGUUUUUCUUUAUUUUCAGAAGUUUCAUGUGUUUUUUUUUUCUUGGUUGAAAAAAGAAGUUGCAUGUUAUGUUAGUGUAGUGAAAUAUGGGUGAGGAAAAUUACAAUUAAUUGGUAACAAAGGGGCUCAUUUGUAGGAUUUCGUAAGUUUUGAUAUCCGUUUGUAGGGUCUUACAAGUUCAUGUAUGAAUUUGAAAUGAUACCCAAAAUUUGGUGUUUUAUGUAAUUGAUCUUAGAAUAUAUUAGGAAAUAAAGAUAUUUAUUAAAUGAGAGUAAUAUAGUAAAUUAAUAGUUUUUAAUAUUAAAAAGAUAUAUAAAAUAAAAUAAAAAAGGAGAACAUGGGUCCUAUUUUCAUGGACACAAAUAGACCCAUUUUCUCUUUUUUAAUUUUAAAUUAAAACAAUAAGAAUAAAUAAUAAAUAAACGCAAUUGGCACUCUUGAGCAUGUGCUCAAGAGCUAGUAUGUGUAUUAUUUUUUAUUAUUUUUAGAAUAGCUAGAAUGUGUAUUAAACAUGGCGAUUUUAAAAUAUAUAUAUAUAUAUGUCGCCAUAUUUUUUUGAAGUGCAUGGAAAAAUGAAGUAUUUUUUUAGCAAUACAUACAUCUAUCUAUCUAUCUAUCUAUAUAUAUAAAGCAAAAGGCAGAGAAUGGUGAAACAUUCAAAAUACCAAAAAAUGCCCUUGGUUAAUGCAAACAUUAAGAAUUGAAAUUAUUAAUUAAAUGAGGAUAAUAUGGUAAAUUCACAAUUUUUUGUAUUAAAAAAUUAAAAUUAAAAGAAAAUUCAGAUAAUGGGUCCUAUUUUUAUGGAACACAAAUAUCCAUUAUUUUUUUUAAUUCUAAAAUAAAUUAAAAUUUUUAUAAAAAAAAACCUCUCGCAUGCGCGGAAGCGCGUGCAAAGAAGCUAGUACGUUUAUAAUACAUGAAUUCACUAAAUACCUUUUCCGAAAGAUGGAAAAAAUCUCUAGGCAUGUUUGGGAAUGUUUCUACAGAAAAUGUUAUAGUCAUAACCACUUUUAUUUUCUUUUCUUUUUUUUUGGUUUGGCACUUUUACUAUAAGCAUAUCCUUUAUUAAAAUAAAAAAUCUAAGCUCUUCUUUUUUUAAUUUUUUGGUCCGAAAAAAUCCAAGCUCUUCUAUAACUUACUUGAAGUUUACAUUCCCGAAGAUGAAAAUGCAGAAAUUUGUUGUGACCCCCAUUGUGGAUUGACAAUCACAUAUGCAUCUCUAAAAAUUAUUGCAAAAGCUGGCCUAAGGAAUUUUGAGAAUCAAUGUUAAUUGACUAUAUCUAUCAAAUUGUAUUGGAUUGAAUGAUUUUAACAACAUGAAAAUGAACAAGUGAUCAAAAUCUCAAGGACAAAUCAAAGUUUUAACAGAAUACAGUAUCCUUUGCCUUGCUCUCUUGACACAAAGCAGUAAUGUUAUGGUGGUUUACAGAAACAAGAACGCAUAUGAUCAAAUCUCAGAACAGUACCUGUGCUACAAAAUAAAACACCAGCCACUCUUCUUAAGCCUGGAGAAUUUUGAUAAGUCUUAUUUGUCUUUAAAAAAAAUUUAUGAACUCUUCUUUACAAUCACUACAUAUGAUAAUGGCUGGUGUACUUUAACAAAUAAAGACAACGCAUAUCAACAUUAGAGGAUUCUGUCCUGAAGAUCCGUCAUUAAAUUGGAUGCCAAGGAGCUAAGCUUCUUCCCGGUCUCUCCAGCAAUGUUUUUUAGGGAAGAGAUAUCCUGUUGUGCCUGGAAAGGAGAAUACACAAAGAUUAAACCGAAAUUAGUUAAACAAAAGGCUGGAAACUCAAAAAGGAAAAGAAGACUAAUUUCUGAUCAGACAUGGCCAAAAUAUGAUAAACAUAUGACAAAAAAAUUGAAUUCCAAUGACUCAAAAACAACUGGAAAUUUCUUAUAUGCAAGGCAUACCUGAAAAGACAGUCGGUUGAUAAGGUCACUUGCCGUAAGAUCAAGGGGCAAAUUAUCAUCCCUGUCGCCAAAUAGAUCAGCACUUGAGAUGGCAGCGGAACCCUGGAAGUAGCAAGAAAUUUGUGUUAGUUUUUUUUUUUUUUUUUUUUUUUUUUGGUGUGGGGUCAAAGUUUCACAUUUGAGUCUAAUAACUUCAAGCACCCACCACGCUUCAGCUGAGAUAGUUUAAUGAAAGUGAAAGAAAAAAAACGAAGCAGCUGAGAUAGUUUAAUGACAGUCGAAGAAAAAAAACGAAGCAGCAUUCGUGUUCCCAAGUUAUCAUGGUAAUGUCCGGAAUCAGAAAACUACAAACACAAUUGUAUGAACUGAUUUGUAUGCCAAAGAUGUGUUGAUGUUGCAAAAGACAAUUAUCUUUGAUUUUAAUUAUUUCCUCGGCAUAUACUCCGACAAAUAUGAGGUCUAGCUGAAUGAAAGCUACAGGGCAGGACUUCAAUAAAUAAAAAAUACUAAAGACAAAAGGGAAUUCAAAUUCAAAAGAAAUUCCCAGUUGAACUGGGUUUAGUUGAUUAUGAUAGUAAUGAUACAUACCGAGAACUUCUGCAAGGAGGCUUGAGCAUCAACAUCAGCAGAUUUGUUCUGAUCACCAAAAAAUUGUGCGGAAGAGAUAGAUUUUGCAUUUGUGAAUUUCUUCCUUGCUUCAUCAGUUUCCUGAAUCUGAAAAACAAUAAAACAUCAAUAUAAAGAAACACACACAAAAUAACAUGAACAGAAAUGCAAACUGGUUAUCAGUGUGCUGAACCAUGACAUAAAGCAACUCUGUUAUAUGUCACAAGUUGGUGUCUCCAUCAGCCAAUAUGCAAGUGCAAAAAGACAAUUGCAAAAAUAACCAAAAGAGCAAACACUAUAAGACAGAUUUUUUAGAUUGAGGAAACCACCAGCAGCAUACGUCUUCCGAAAACGGGCUAAACAUUCCCACAGUAUCCAUCAGGACUGGAUAUCAUGCAUGAGAAGGAUAGUACAUUCCCAUUGUCAUAAUGAUUCUUUAAAUAACGCUACCAUUUGAUAAAAUAAGGCCCCACUAUUUGAUAAAACAAGGCCUUACCAUUUGAGGCAUAUGGUCAUUGCCACUUAAAAACAACAUAAAAUUGGAAUGGAGCAAACGAAAGUACUCCUCGCCAAGCAUACAUGAACCAUUUAAAGGAUAAUGUAACUCACUCAACAAUCUCAUGUUCUUUUGUUUAUUUUUUAAGACAAUAAUCUGCCUAUUAGAUUACGAUUAUAAAAACUUCAAAUUGUAGUGACUGCCUGAAAAGGAAUGUUUUUACUCCAGAACUUAGAUAACCAAAUACAUGUAAUACGUUAGGAUGCUUUCUCACCCAUGGGGGAAAAUUUGCCUACUCGUUUACUUCUGAGUAGAAUUUCUGGACCUUACAGAUUUUAGGAAUAUGAAAACUGUUACACAAUACAAAAACUCCAUUUGGUUGCUUCCCAUAUUACUAAUAUCAAGCAAACGGACUUGAGCCUCUUUAGGAUAAACAUAAAGCAUUUCAAUUAAUUAGUGGUGACCUUAAAAACAAUGAAUGGCCGGAAAAUAAAGAAAAAGAACAAACACUCAGAAACUACAAAUGUGUAAAUUACUCCUUUUAAUGAACAUACAGGAAGCAAAAACAUCACUUCAAUUAAUUAGUGGUGACCUUAAAAGUUGAAUUUCACUGAACAAUGUUGAAUUAAAUGCUGGAGUAAUAACUAUCCAGACAGUUCAGGGGCAAGUUUGAAAAGUUCAGAGGCAAGUAUUAACAAAUUUCUUUAAAAAAUAUUUUCUAUGAUAUACGAGCAGAUUUGUUAUAGACACAGCCCCAAUUUCACAAAGUUUUGGUAAAUGAUUCCUUCCUCAUCCAUAUCAACCUGCAGUAUAACUACAGAGAAGAACGAUAUAUUCAUCCUCAUCUAGGAAUUGAGGUGUUCUGAGUUUGAUUAGAAACUUAAAAAUGCAUUACCCUUGUGACAUCAAUGGAGGCUUUUGCAAAUACAAUUAAAACAUUAAUAGUAAAAUAAAACUAAACAGUAAAACUAUGAAAAACAAACAAGUAGACAGUUUUCACCCCACCAUUAUUUAAACUGUAGCAGCUUUUUAUUUCCUUCUAAACUCAGUUUUGUACUUUACUAUGUUCCCCUCUUUAGAUAAAUUUGUUUGUUUGAACCGUUUCUUAUAGCAAAAGGGAUUUCAGGGUCUUCAAAACUUAAACAAAAACCUGAAGCUUGUCCCUUUUAUGAUACAAUAGAUUUCAUGUCUGACCAUUGUUUCUCAUCAUAGUAAUACAGUGUCUAUUUUCUUCUUUCUUCUUUCUUCCUUGACCAGAUGAUAGGAAAAGCUUAGCCUUUUUGGUUCUCUUAAAUUUGUCACCCUAACACUUCUAAAUCAUGUCAAGCCUUAAAUCCUGGUGUGAAAAGUGCAAUAUAGAUUAGGGAAUUGGAGCCUUAAUUUUUUUCACAUUGUAGCAGGUCCUAAAUUAACGAUUUAUUUCUAAAGAACUAAUAUUUAUUAGUGGGCAAGUAACAAGAAACAUAAAAAACAAAUUAGUUCCCUUGGGAAAACUACUUAUAUGUGAAUGUCAUUGGUCGAAUAUAACUUACUUGAACUUUGGAGGAAUUUGAACUAGUUCUCUUGGGAAAAUUACUGUCCAUUCCAAAAUCCGCAAAGAAAUUUGACGACUUUGGUGGAGCAAUAUGACUAAUUACAUGAGCGCCAUUGGGAUUCGUCUCAGGAUUUUGGAUAAUUUCUACAUACUCAAAACGAGACACAAAGGACGAGCCAGCUGUUGUUGGAGUGCUGUUAGUUGAGGAAGGCACUGGUAUAACAGGUUCUUCAGGUUUCUGAUCGUACAGGCUUUCACUUGACUGCAUUUGAUAAAAGUUAUCUCGCUAAGAAAAAGGCAUUUUCCCUAAAAAUAUAAUAAAAUAGGAAACAGAACUCAAAGAUACCAUUGCUGAUAAAUAAUUUAUUCUAAGCGAUAAUAAGAAAUCACAACCUUUGUAGUAAGUUUGCGAGCACCAAGCCCCCCAGUCUUCCCAGUUUUCUUAGCACCAAGAGGCUUCUUGACAGUACUGGUAACAAAUGUAUGGGGGGCUUUCGGGGGAGCAGAGACUUCAGGGGUUUCUUUCCUUGCUAAAGAUGUUUCUUUUGGAGCUUCACUGGUCUUGACAUCAGGAAGCCCGUUAGAUGCUUGUCCUGACUGAGAUGCAACAGGUGAUGACGGAAGACCUGCCUCUUCUGCCAUACUUUUGGCAACUUCUUUAGAAAGCAUCUGCCUGUAUAAAUCGGCAGCUCUUGAUGUAUAUUUUGCCUCAAUUUUGCCUCCAUCCGUCCAUCCAUGCUGCUUAAAGAAAACCUGUGCGCGGUUGUUUCCACCGAAGCUCAUCGUUUUAAGCUGUUCAGGAGUCCAUGAGUCUAAAUUUGUGGAUCUGCACAAAUUAAACAAAUCAAUUAUAAGAUUGUCAUUGUCGCGAUUUUGCUUUUGCAGUUAUUUCUAAAGAUUAAACCCAAAUGUGAAUUUCAAAUAGGAUGCAUUAUUAAAUCUAAAUGAUCUGACAAUCAUAUUCAACUCAACCUUUGAAAAAUACACAUGAUUUUACUUGUACAAUCCAUUAAAAAACAAAUUAUUUAUCAAGAAAGUAUCUUUUAUGUAAACUUAGAAUCAUUACAUGGAGAAUAAAUCUAGGUCCAAUUUCAUUACAUGGAGAAGUGAAAUCUGAAUUCAAACUAUCAUAUCCACCCCUGAUGCUAAAAUAAUCUCAACAAUCGAAGGUGGGGAAAGAUGACGGGGGAUGGAGGGGAGGGCCAAGGGGUGUGGAGACAGGAAGAUUCUGAGUGAGCGGGGGAUUGGGGUAGGGAGGGGGGAGAGUGGAUUGUUUGGGAAGACCACAUUGAGGAGGGGAAAUGGUUGGUAGGCAAGAUCGGGCAGGAGGGGGGUGGGGGAAGGUCGUCAUCUGGAGGAAAGGGAUGUGCUCUGAGAACAUCCUUGGAAAGGGCUCGUCUAGGAAGAUCGGGGAAGGACGAGGGGAAAGUAACAGGAAAGCUUUUCCAUUAAGUGGAAAGUAACAACGAAUAAACGCAUAAGUCAUUAUGGAAAGAACUGCUAAUAAUUUUGAAUCACAUAAAACUAAUGGCUUCAUUGCAGUCGUAUGGGUGCGUGUGUGUGCAACUUCUUAUCUACCUUUGAAGUCUUCCUAAGAAUGCAUGCAACAGUUCCCUUGUUUGCCUUAUAGUUUCAGUUGUACUUCAGAUAUUAAGUUUGGGUCAAAUUGUAGGACUUAUACUCCAUCUAGCUCAAACAGAUACAAAGAACCACAAGAGGUGCUUUCCACAAAUCUCCUUUCUAUUAAAAGAACAAAACAGAUCACGGUUCCUAAAAUAAAGCAUAACCUUUCGCACUUCUGGCCCAAGUUUCUUGCUGCACCCUCCAUCCAAUCCCAUCAAACGUCUAUCUAAUUACCAAAUUCCUAAGAUUUAAUUAAUGAUACAAACUAUGACUCCGAUCCCCAACAUGUAACGUGAUUUCAGUUCCCUCUUAUUUAAAAACAUAACUUUGAGUUCUCGUAACAUAAAUUAGAUUACAUCACAAAAUGCACCAAUAGUUAAAGCAAUAAACAUUCAAUCAUAUGUACUCAAAACAGCUACUCCAACACCCAAAAUAUAACAAAAUACGGAUUGAGAGAAUUAAGGAUCCUUACUGCCACAUGAAACAUACCUAACAAAGCUGAUGUGAACGCCGAGACUGCGGUGAGCGGCCGAGCAAUCGAUGCAGAGAAAGAUCCCAUAUGUAACCGAGGCCCAAGUUGGGUUCUUUGCAUUGCAAUCGAAACACAUCUGGAGCAAAAACCCACAAAACGAAAAUCAAAACUCAAGAUCCAAGCACAGAACACAGAUCUGAAUCAGAUCUAACAGACCCAUAUCGAAUUUUGCAUCAAAAUCAAAAACCCAUAUAAAAGUUUUAAGAAUAACCCAAACAAAAAAGGCAAAAUGAUAUUAAAAAAACAAAAGAACCUUGUUUUCUGACUUUGCUUUCAGUUUUCUGAAAACAGCGUUCUUGUCAUUGAAGAUUUCGGACGCCAUUGGAGAGACAAAUCCUAGAGAAAUUAGCGAGAACAAAUGAAUCCGAAGAGGUGCUUGAACACCUCCUCAGGCAAAAGAGAGAGGUAGAGAUGUGUGGAAAUGAAACCCCAAAUUGAUUUCAGGUUCUGUUUUUUGGUUUUGGUUUUUCGUUUUGUGAAAUUUUAAACGGAACCAUUUUAUUAGCAGUGGGUAUGAUACAAUGUUGUUCAAAUGACGAAACUACCCUUGAGGUUUUAAGGGUAGUUUCGUUGUUGUCCAGUAGUGUAAUUAUUUAUCUGAAUGAAGGGCAAACGUAAUUUGUCAUGUUACGUCCAUGCCUUUUUGGUGGCAACUGGCGGUUUACCAACCGUUAACGGCUGGGCUUAUAUAGAUUGGUCAAUCUGAACCACCCAGUUCCACAUUUCUUCAACCUUGAACUUUUUAUUUUUUUAAUCAUGCUUAAUUUAGUUCAAUCUUUCUAAUUUUAAAAGCCAGAAAAAGAAAAGAGAGAAAAAUCUAUCUUUUAUCUGUUUAUACUGUUUUAUCAAAUACAUAAUCGACAAUCCAUCAGAAAAUAAAAGAGAAACCUUAAUUAUCAGGAAUGGGUGUUGGAAUGAUUAUGAUUUCUUCUUCUCCUGUGUUUACUAAUUAUGAUUUCUUCUUCUCCUGUGUUUACUAACACAUAGGUAUUGGAAUGAUUAUAAUCAUGACUUCCCAUGUGUUUAUGUUACAUAAAGAACUAAAAUUUAUGUGGAUUCCAUGCCAAAAUUUGCAAUCGAAUACCGUCAAAUUAGGAAUAGGAUCAACUAGGAGUGGUUGAUUUGAUUUUUUUUUUUUUUUUUUUUGGUAUGAGUUGAUUUGAUUCUCAUUCCUUGAUUCUGCUAUAUAAGUUCCUAGUGUCAUGACUUCUCUCAUUCCUUAUAAAUAAAUUGGAAAAUAUGAAUAAUAACCUUAAAAGCAUAGUGAAAUUUUGUUAACACCCCUUUAAGCAUAAUAAACCUUAAAAUAUCAAUAUGUUGGAACCAACCCUUUAAUUUUUCCCCUCAAUAUUCCACUUUCACCCCUCAUAAAUAAAAAAUAUUAGAAAAUAAAUAGCUAGCAACCCUCACCGUUUCAAUCCCUACGUAAGCUAUUGACAACCCCUCCACACGGACGGCAUCUAUUCCCUCUUCACACUUCCCAACUAGCAAUAUGAAGGGCAUGUUUACGUAUCAGUAAUAAAGAAAGUAAGGAAUCGGAGAAUUUAGGAAUCGGAAAACUAUUGAAUCAGUAUGGGAAGAAUCAUUCUCAUUAAGCUAUUUACUAAAUAUAUGGAAUUAGUAAAGGAAUAGGGUUGAUUCUCAUUGUUAUUGUUUACUAACUUUAAUGAAUCAGAAUCCAAAUUAAUUUGAUUACUAAAAUGCCCAGCACAUUUUCACCACAACACAUAUAUAAUUCUCAAAUUGGUUAAGGAGACCAAACUAAUCUUGCAGCAAACCAGUGAGGCGGUGUAAACAUGAGGAAUCAAUAUGCUAAACAAGAUAAACAACAGGAGCCCAGUUCAAUGAUAAAGUUAAUAACACCUUUGUCCAGAGCCAAUUUCAAACGAAAAAAUAAACUCCAAUAAAUAUAUAUCUUUCACCUACGUAACUAGUAAACAAUCAAAUAAUAAUACCUGCAUAAUCUUCAUACGAUUAAAUAUAUGGAACUUCUUGGAACUGAGUUUUUAUUUUUUUUAGGGUAGAGCGUCUUGGAACUUUUUGGCGUGAGUUUUUUUUAUUUUUUAUUUUUUAGGGUUUGGGGUGUUUUGGAAUUAUGGUAAGGUUGUAAGGGUAUUUUUGAAAGUUAUUAAGAGAAAACAGGAAUGGGAAUCAAAUCAACUACUCCCCUUAGUUGAUCUAAUACCUUGUUUUGAGAAGAUAUGAUUACGGAUUUUGAGGUGGGGUCCACUUAUUUUUUCAUUCCUGAUUGCAAGUAAACGUAGGGGAAGUUAGGAAUGGAAAUCAUUCUCUUUCCUCCCAUACCCAUUACUGAUAUGUAAACAUGCCCUAAGAGUGAGUUUUUGAUUUAAUACUUUGUACUAGAGAUGGAAAAAAUGUACAUAAUUCUUUUUUCUUUAUAUUGAGCGUGUGUUUAGUUAGGCGUGGGCGGAACUUGGGGUGUGUAAUGUGAGCAAUUGCACAGAGGUCUAAUUUUAGAAGGGCCCCAAAUUAUAAUAUUGUUCAACAUAUAUAUAUAUAUAUUAUAUCAUAUAUUUGCUUUUAGUUAAUAUAUUCACAUCCAAAUAAAAACGUAUACUCGCUAUAUCAAUUCAUUUAUCUUAUAUUCCCAUAUAAUAUGUAACGACUCAUUCUAAUUUUUUUAUUGAUUUACUUAAAUCCCUAUUCAACCCUUAGGGACGAAACGUGACUAAGUAGGGCCUCGGUUAACCCUUCACCCAACCCUCCCCAUUUUACAAGCUUUCAAAUGUCAUGGUUUCGCUUUUUCAAUCUCAUAUUGUUGCUAUAUGAUGUACUGUGAACAAAUAAAGGGUGUAUUUUAGUUUAGUACUACGAAUAGUACACGUAUUUUGAGUUUUAAUAAUUUGGUACCUUAACAUUUUCAAAUUUUGCUUCAAUUCAACUUGUUAUACUCAAAAUGUCAAUAAGGCACACCCUCAAAAGCCCAAAGCAGACUAGGCCUAGCUCACUUAGGAAGUGACUGGCCCUCUCCAAAAACCCUAAAUCGGCUUCCCCUAAGAUUGCCUAGGCUCGAUUGAGACAAGGCAAGGUCACCCAAGCCCAUGCAACGACCAGGCACUAAGGCCUCACGCACCAAUCCUGAAGGGAAUAUGGUGGGAAUGGUGUUGUGUAGAAAUUUCUAAAAACUCUACAACCAAACUUUGAGAGUAUAAAUCACCUAGCAAGCCAUAUCUAAUAUGAAAUCAAAGUAAGAGCAGAAGCAUUAAAUAAACUAGGGAUUCAUGCAAGUCUCAUUUGGUCCCAAUCUUUAUAAGUAUAUGAAAGUGUGCACGAAAGACUCUCUAAAUCCUAUUUGAAAGAAAGAAAAGAUGUUCAUACCCUUGGAGUGAAUCUUGAAACCAAGAAUGGUGUUCAAUUAGAAGGAGUGAUCCCUUUAUUGUUGGCUCUCCCUUUGAUGUUGAUUCUCCACCUUGUAGCUCUCCAAAUAGGUACAAAGAUAUGCACCUCCCUAAAGCUCUUCACCAAUGAUUGAAUGGGAUGAGAGAAUGUGUAGAUAACAAGUGAAGAGUGGUGCUAGCACCCUCACUUGAUGUGAUAGAUUGAAGGGGUUAGGGAGAGAGAGCUUGAUGUUUUCUUUCUCCCAAUUUCACCAACUUGAAAAACCCUAGGAUGAUAGAAUUUCAUAUCUACACAUUUAUAGGAUAAAAAAUGUCACAAGAGUGACAAAAAUGCCCCUAAACCCUAGUGUAGCCACAUCCCCCUCCCCCAAAGCCCAUUUUCUCUUUUUUGUGUGUCAUCUUUUGCUAUCUUGGUCUAACACAUUAAUCCUAUAAUGUGUCACAUGUGUGCCUAAAUCCAUAUGGUCAAAUCCCUUUUGAAUUUCCAAGUCAUAUGGGACCUUUAAUUAAAGUUUCAUAACUUUAAUUGAAUAAUUAAAUUAAUCUAAUUUUUUUUUAUUUCUCUAGUGACUUGACUAAUUUCAUCACUCACUUGUCUAACGAGUGUUAGUCCCAGUCAUCCUUAGUUGACCGUGUCAAGUGUCGAGUCAACCGUAUGACCUUUGACUUUUGACUUUAACCUUUGAAUUUCACAUUGACUUUGACCAAGUCACAAAAUCAUUCAUUCUCUUCAUAAUUUUCCAAUCGAUUCCUUUUCUGUGUGCGAUCUUAUGGGUUCUAAUUAGCGAGGCAGUGGGUAUGAAUUAUUUACUCUGAAUCUAGUGUAAAUUGUAUCCCUCCUUAUAAUUCUCCCUAUUGGCAAAGGCUAAUUAUAAUUAGUCCUUAUAAGGCUUUCACAAGCCAUGAGUGACACCUAGCAGUAUGUCAUGGCUACCCAAGCUAAAAAGAAUUCAUUUAGAGAACCUAGUCAUUUUGCGAUUACAAUGCAAUUCGAUCCUUCUCUAAUUCAAUACUCUAUGUCAUAUUCUCGGGAUAUGGUAAACUUGUGUCAAAAUCCCUAAUAUAACAUCUCUAGAUUAUAUGAUUCAAUUUGAUGAAAUUGCAAACGUUCUUAUUUCAAUUUCCAUCCAAUACUUUGGCCAAAGAUUCACGAAUCAUAUCUUUAGAGUAUUCUCUCUUCUUACUAAGAGCAGAGGAUUCUUGUUGUAUAUUCACCUGUCGCUGCGUACAUGCUAAGAAUCCUGAGGAACACCUUUAGGUCAAAUAAUUUUGAUACGACCGUAUAGUGUUAUUAAAGAGGAACAACAUAUAUACAAGACAACUGUGAUGUCUCAGGUCUAAGGAUUAAUUUGCAUUAUCACAACUUAGAAUUCUUUGUUUGACACUUGUGAGUAAGACUUCCAUACAAGAAUUCUAUAGUUGAUCACAUUCAGCAGACUCCAUCUUCUAUAGAGCACCUACACAUCUGUCUCAGUGUCUUUACACGAAUGACAUACUCUCUUACUGCAUCUCCAAAGAUUUAUCAUUAUAAAAAAAAUUAAAAAAAAAUUUGCCACUCAAUUACUGUUAUCAUACAGAUUUUGAUCUAAUUAAAUUAGCAUGAAAGGGAUUCAUCCCAGUGAGAUUCUGGAUCGACAAGGGAAUCCUAAACACAAGAAAUGUUAUGCAGUUGUCAUGUAAACACGCCCAACACUGUGUUGUUGGGAGAAAGGGGGAAAAUGAAGGAAUAAAUAUCAAUUACUCACGAAUUUGUUUUUAAAGGUAAUGCCUCUCUCCAUUUUUUGGUCGUGAGAGGUAAUGCCUCUCUUUGGUGCACAGAGGAAUGCGUUAUAUACAUGGGCUUGCAGCCCGGGCUUCUAUGGGCAGGCCGGGUUAGGUUUUAUGGACUCAAACAAGGCAGGUCAAGCUUUAAACACCCUAAUUCAAGCCGGCCAUUAAAUAACAGGUUGGGCUUUUUCUCAAUGGGUCGGGUGGGCCUCUAUUGGCCCAUGAGCUCGAGGGCUAAAUGGUAAUCCCAAAUUUAAUAUACAUAAGACAUGUGAUUUGAACUCUCCAACUUACUGCAAUGCUUUUUUAAAAUAAAAAUAAAAUAUUUCCACAUGUCUGGUACACCAGCUGGUGUACCCGGAACAUACAAAAAUUUCUCCUAUUUUUUAAGUCUUUAUUCAUAGAUUAUCUUUGCAAAAAAUUAGACAAAUUGAAAACCAUUAAGUGAUCUAAUUGUGACCAACGAAAUAGACUAAUAAUACCGUGCUCCAAGAAAAUACUAAAAUAACAGUCAUCUUUUUGAGAUUCAAGUGAUUUUUUUUUCCAGAGUUAACUUUAAAGAAAUAUCUAAAAACUAGACGAUUCUUAUCACUGAAAAACAAUACAUGUAAAUAGUGCAAUCCACUCACUAAUUUAAGAAGUUGGGCUUGUGCUUGAAUUCUACAUGCUUUAGCUACUCCCGCCACUCCCGCAAGUCACGAAUUUGGGUGAUUCUUAGGCCCACGUUUGAGUCCACACUCUCUUGUCAUGUUGACCAUAAAUAAUUGUUGUUUUCAUAAUAGAACUAGCUGUAAGCAAACAGAUCACGUCACCACUUUUAGAUUUCAAAAGUAUGUUGGGCAAACGUUGAUUCAUUCAUGGUUGAUGUUCCUGAUUUGUCAUUUAUAUUAGUUUUGCGGCUAAAAAUGGAGAAGGGUACAGAAGAGAUGUUGGUAUAUCAUUGGCCUGGACCAACAUUUGCAUAAUUGAACUCAACCCACCUUUAUAUAUGUUCAAAAUUUAAAACUUUUUCUUUUCGAAGUUAGGAUAGGGGAGAGAAUUUCUCUCACACACUGCCAAAGUAUCAUGAAAGUUCAAAUAUAAGACCACUAGUCGGCAAGUAAAAACUUUUUUCUACUGGACUAGACCCCGUUGACAUUCAAAGCCUUUUUAUAGCAUCCUACAAAAUGGCUAUGGUUAAACUCGAAUGUGUAACCCUAACUAACACAACUAGUAAAAGAAGCAUGAUCCUUAAAAAUAUGUAUUAUAAUGGGUGAAGCAAUGAAGGGCCCAGCCAAAAGAGGAUCUGGUUCCUCACUAUUUGUCGUGGAAGAGGCAAAAGGGCCUGUUAGAAUCUGGACCACAGAAAUGAAGUCCAUCUCAAGCAUAUCAAACUCAAUGAAAAAAUACAUAAGAUUAGAUUAGAUUUUUCUUCUGAACAAAAAGAACAGAUUUUCUCAAUUCUCCAAAGUAAAAAGGUUCAAAAAGAAACUAUGAACCCAAAUAACUUUUCAUGAGCUAUAUACAUUUCCUCAAAGAAUUUCUUUCCGCAAUAAUAUGCCUCAAAUCUUCCCCUCUGAUUUAUGGGGUCCAUUAUAUUUUAGACAUGCAUUGGAUCUAAUGAAUUAAGGUCUAGUCAGUGAAAUCAUUGAAAGGGAAUAAAACAUUAGUUGCUCUACAGCCUACUUGAUUCCCUAGUAUUUCUUUUCUUUUUUCAUUGAUACAAGAAAGGUCAAAUGGGAGCUUAGGGUUUAAGUAAAUGUACUCAACUACUGGAUUUGCGAGUAUUUAUCGGUCACUUUUUCUUUAAAUAAAUAAUGAACCCGAAUCAUCAUCUUCUUAUUUAUAAACUUUUUUUUAUAGUCAAAAUGAUCUCAAUUGGUUAAGCUUUUUACCUCUACCUAUGUGGACAGAGAUUACGCUAACAAAACCAUAAGAAAUUUACAAUUCUAUAAGAAUUUAUACAAUUUCAUUUAAAAAUUGAAAAAAGUUGUUCAAGUUGCGAAAGCUAAGUUAUUCAUUUUUUUAUAUAUUAGUGGUCUCAAAUAAUGAUGAACCUAAUGCUUAAUGUGGAGUUAAUUAAAUUCGAAUAAGGUUAAAUUUUCACCACUAUUAGGUGGGAAAAUGAUUUAAGAAUUAUGAAGAAUUCAUAUUUUUAUUAUUUCUUAUAUCUUUAAAAAAAAAAAUCCACCCUUUACUGCAAAAUUACAAGUGAUGGGUCCUGAAUCAAGGCAUUUGGUAUCAUAUGUCAACGUACCCAUAAUUCAAUAGUAAAAGUAUUUGCAUGCAGGUUAGUGGUCCCAACCCCAAGACACAUCUCCUUCUCCCUCAAAUUUUGGAAAAUAUUUUGCUCACAAUUUUAACUCAAGAUGUAUUUUCAUCAUCCUUCUUAAUACUUGACACGUGUCCAUAUAUAUAACUAUGGUCCUCUUUCUUUUGUAUUUGUGGAAUCAUGGUUAUACCUAUAAACACGUGUCAAGUAUUCAGAAGGGUAAUGAUAGUACAUCUCUGAUUAAAGAUGUGAACAAAAAUACUCCCAAACUUUGACAACAACAAAAAAAACAUUUGGUAUCAUGUGGAUAAGAUUUUGUUCCUUUUUUUUUUUCCUUGGACGGGUCUAUUUUGACAACUCUUUUUUCUUUGAUGGAAUGGAAUAAUUAUAAUGUCAUAUCUGCAAAAGAAAAAUAAUUACUCAUUGGACCAAAAAAAAACACUAACACUAAAAUAAAGUCUAAUCUUAUGGAAAACCUUUUUAAAACCACUAAAAUAAAACCUAGGUAAACAGAAAGAAAAAAAAAAUGCACCAAGUUAGACAAUGCCACCUGUCCAACCACCCACCCACUAAACUAAUGAAAGCAAUCAAUCACUGUUAAUGUCCCAUGAACAAUGCAUCCCCCACUUAAAGAAUAAAGCAAGUAAUGCUAAACGACAUGUCGGAUGAGUGGCAAAAUGUGCAAAAGGUUGAAAACCGCGUGACGUGAUAUGAAUGAAUCACGUGCUUCCUUGAAUUUCAAGAGAUACGACACAACAAGACCCACACUCAGACCAAAAAAAAAAAAACAAGACCCACACCUAAAAAUAAAAACCUGAUUGGUGCUGCUCAGUGCUCCACACACUAUGCUUUCAACCCUCUAAAAUCAGUUAUAGGGCCCUCGGGUCUCUCUCCACUCGCUCUUGCGCGCAGCUCACGUGCUCGUAAGUUUGGGGCUACGAUGCCGUAGGCAUUUCCGGUUUGGUUUGAUAGUACAGUUUUAUACGCAAGGUCUCUUUUGUUUUAGUUUAUUUCACCCGAGCGUUGGGGGAUCCAAACACGUUGUUUGUGCUGAGAAAAACUUACAUACUACCGGUUAUAUACACUUUAGUUUCUAUAUUAUAAAUUACGUGAUUUUAUGCUAUAGAAACUUGUUAAAAAUGUUUGUUGCACAUUGAUAAGUUAAGGGAUCUAACUUGAGUUUAUAAGAAAUUGGGCUACUCUUCCCAUUAGGCAUUUUCUAACACAUUUAGUUCUAAACUCAAAUUUCCCCCCUUCAAGAAGUAACUAUUUGGGUUUUGCCCAGACUUAAACCGUUUUUUCCCCAACCCUGCAUACUCAAAUUUUAAGUCCGCAAUUUUAUUAAAUAAUUUAAGUCUAAUUUUUCUUCAUUUAAUCUUUUUAAAUAACUUCAUAAUUUAUUUUUUAAACAAUUUGACCCAAAAAAUUAAAAUUCCAUAAAUAUAAUUUUAUUUGAGAAAUAGGUGGGCAUUUAUAGAGUUUAGAGUGAGUUUUGGGAUUAGAUAAUUUUUUUGAAGGACCUUUCUUAUUGAGAUGAGCGAUAGUAUACUAAACUCACACACACUACACGGAUGGUAGGACUGUCCGUGAGGAUCCCACCGGAGCGCCUUCUACUUCUAAUAGGCCAUGAACUACUCGAACCCAAGACCUUACCUAGGGAAGUAAUUACUCCAAACCACUACACUAACCCUAAACUUAUGUGCAAUAAGAUAAGUUAAAUUGAGUUGUUUGAAAAUGGAUUUCGUGCCUCUAUGUUUAAAGGUUGUGCAUUUACAUGCAUUUUGCAACAUCUAGUCCAUUCAAAUAAUCUAACGGUUUAAAACAUGACAUCAUCAACAUAAAUGUUUAACAUUAUAUAAUAGUAGCCUCUCUGCACGCGCUUCUGCGCCUGUGAGAGGCUUUUUUUGAAAAAAAUUAAAAUUUAUUUAGAAUUAAAAAAGAUAAUGGGUAGUUGUGUUCCAUAAAAAUAGGAUCCAUUAUCUGAUUUUUCUUUUAAUUUUAAUUUUUUUAAAUAUGAAAAAGUAUGAAUUUACCAUAUUAUCCUCAUUUAAUUAAUAACUAGCCUCUCCGCACACGUGUGAAUUUACCAUAUUAUCAUCAUUUAAUUAAUAAUUUUAAUUCUUAAUGCUUGGAUUAACUAAGGGCAUUUUAUGGUAUUUUGAAUGUUUCACCAUUCUCUGCCUUUUGCUUUACGAGUAAUGCUACACUUACCACAUUUGUAUAUCACAUUCUCAUACCACCUUAUGUGGCAGAUGAAGUGGACAACCACAUCAAUUAAAAAGUGUCAAUAAAUCAUAAAAGAAAAGAAAAUGUUAAAUUAAUUUAAUUGAUGUGGUUGUCCACCUCAUCUGCCAUAUAAGGUGGUAUGAGAAUGUGGUAUACAAAAUGUGGUAAGAGUAGCAUUAUUCUUUGCGCUUUAUAUAUAUAUAUAUAUAUAUAUUUCAAUUCUUAAUGUUUGCAUUAACCAAAGGCAUUUUCUGGUAUUUUGAAUGUUUUACCAUUCUCUGCCUUUUACUUUAUAUAUAUAGAUGUUUUAAAUUAAAAACUGUUUAAAAUUAACACUUGUUUAAUUGUUAAAGUAAAAAUAAUAAAUACUAAAAACCCAUUGUUUUCCGGCAAAACGUGAAGCAAGGGGUAGGGGGCUGUGAGGUAUCGGGUAGGAGGAAGUCAGUCAACAAAACAUUUUACAUAUCAUCACAGCCAUUGAUGUGGUGAAAUUGCUUGAAUUUUCCUUCAUAUCUAUAUAUGCAAAUGGGCUUGAGAAGCCAUUAAUUGAACUCAUGAUUUUCCUCCAACUUUGUUUAUGCAGAAGCAUAUCCUCCACAAUAUAAUUUAGGUGAAAAAUGGCACAAUUUUGGAAGGCGUUGGGGUGGGAAGGGAUGGAGUGAGAUAGAGAGAUGGCAUUGAGAUGGCAUUUGAUAUGGCGGCUUAGGUGGUGUUGGGGUGGUUAAGGAUGGUCAUGGCGGGGAUGGGGUGGGGCAGGGGAGUCCACUUCCUGGAAUUUUUCACUCUGGAUUUUUUUGAUUUUUUAAAUCUCAUUUUUUUAAUUUUAAAUUCUAUUUUCUAUUUUUGAAGUUAUUAAAUUUUAUUUUAAAUUUUGUUAAAAUUUAUUAAUAUGUCAUAUCGUAAACCGUUAAAUUAUUCAAAUAGACUAGAUGUUACGAAAUUACGAAUAAAUGCAUAACCUCUAAAUAUAGAGGCUUGGAAUCUGUUCUAAGACCAGGACUGCAAGUUUGCAACCACCACCCUACUUAUCAUAGUCCCAUAACUUCAUGCAUGCAUGCAUUAUGGUAACUUAUGACCCAAAUCAGCAAGAAAGUGAGCUGCAAAGUCAGCUUUACAAAAUACACGACCAAAGCAGCAUGCUCCUUACUUGCUUACAACUUGAAUUUUUUGUUUUGUAAUCCAAAACAAAGCAGCAUGCUAACUCUUUUUUUUUUUUUUUUUUUCUUUUCUUAGUGAUUAAGCUCAAUUACCGUAUAAAGUUAUCAUAUCAAUCUUUUUAGGAUUAUAUUUUGAGAUAUUUAGUGAUAUACCCAUUUCUAGCACUAAUAUUAUAAAUAAACCCUACACAAUUGAAUUCCUAUAAACAAACCCAAAAAAAACCCAAAAAAUGAUAGCUGGCCUUAUUGAAUUUAAUAUUAAUUAUUAAAUUACUUUGAUGCCCUAUUGAGUGCUUUGGGUAUUUUUAUGAGAUUUUGGGGUUGGGCUUGUUUUAAGAAAUUGAUGGCAGUUUUGUAAUUUAUAAGAAGUUAAAAGCUUUUUUGUUAUGUUGUAAAUGGACUUUGGGUGUGUUUCUAAAGUCCAUUUUAUAUAGGGUAUUUUUAUAAUUUUGGCCCCCAUAUUGGGUAUAAUAGUGAAUCUCCCUUAUAUUUUCCGUAACUUGCUUUGGCUUACUUUUCAAAUGUAACAUAGUCAUGUGAAAUGAAAUACAACAAUUUUAUUAUUGAAAGCUAAAACGAAUACAUAGGGCUGGCCAUAAAAAACCGAAGACAUUGAUUUUUUUUUUUAAUUUGAUCGAAAAUAAUUAAAUUUCAUUAACCAAAAUCAUUGGUUACAAUAAGGUCAUCAAGAAUACAAUUCAUUAGCAACAUAGGGUCUUCUUCUAGCCAAUAAUAAGGACCUUAUUCAUGUAAAGCAAAACGAGAAAUAGCAUAAAUCACUUUGUUACACUCCCUAGGACGAAAUUGGACUUCCUUUAAAGAAAACCGCAUGAGCAAGUCUCUCACAUCAUCCACAAUGUUGCAGAUAGUAGCCCAAACAGUCUCCCAUGAAUUAAUCAUCAUAACAGUCUUAAAAGAGUCAGUUUCUAUGAGGAAAGGGAAAAAAACCAGCAACUGCAGCAAAUAAAACUCCUCUAUAGAUAAAUUACAAUUUUGUAGCUAGAAUGGAAACCCUACGAGGGCUUUGCAUGGCUAGGGCACCCAUAAAAACUCCAGAAUCAUUACGAACAACUGCACCUACACUACGCAAGCCUGUUGCAUUGUCAGUAGCUCCAUCAACAUUGAGCUUAUAGAAACCUUCAGGGGGACAACUCCAAAUCUCAUUCUAAUUAACCCUACAAGCACGAACAACGCCUCUAUCAAUAUAUUUCUUACUUAUAAUAUUAUGAAGCGAAAGCCCAUAAAUAUAUGAAGCCGAAGUAUCAACCUAAUAUAAAGCCAACAUUGCAAUCACCAUUCUAAUUUCUAAAUUGCUGACAUGAGCAUCUACAAUAGUCUUUUUAAAGGCUUUUAAAUAAUAGAUAUUUAGUUAUAUACUAAUUCUUAGCACUAAUGAUAUAGGUAAAUCCUACACCAUUUAAUUUAUAUAAACAACCCAAAAAAAAAACUCAAAAAAUGACAGAUAACCCUAUUGAAUUUAAUUUUAAUUAUUAAAUUACUUUGAUGCUCUAUUGAGUGUUUUGGUUUUAUUUUUUUUAAUGAGGUUUUGAGGUUGGACUUGUAAUUUAUAGGAAGUUCGAAGCCUCUUUGUUAUGUUGUAAAUGAGCUUUGGGUGUGUUUCUAAAAUUACAUUUCAUGUAUAAUUUUUUUAUUAUAUAAUUUGGGCCUCUAUAUUAAAUAUAAUAAUGAAUCUUCAUUUGAAUAAUUGAUUUGGUGAGUCACCUAGGCAAAAAAAAGUUUCGAUAGAAGUUCAAGUCUAUGACCACCUUCUCAGUCUACAAAUUUUUGGUCACCACUUUCUAACUCUUCAACUUAGCUUUCUAUAUUAAAAAAAUUAAACAUAUUGUUAUGGGAGAAGAUAGAGAACUAUGAAGAGUUCUUUGGAAGGCAAACUUUUUAAAGUAAUUAACGAACUUUAUUCUUCAAAUUUCCACAUAAAUCAAUAAAAUACAAUUUUGAAAAAUGAAAUUUGUUUCUUCUCUUGAUGCUACAUUCAACAUUCAUAUAAAUAACAAACUAAUAAUCAGAUUAUAUUAAAAGUUAAUGUGUGUGAUAAAGAAUAAUAAUAAAUGGUGAUAACCAAUAAUAAAAUAUCAAGUAGAAAAAAAUAAUGAAAUUAAUAUAGGUCGUUUGAUUCGGGUUUUUUUUUUAAAUAAACCAAACCAAACCACACCACUCAAAUAAAUCUAAUUUGACCUAUUUAUAAAGUUAGCAAAUAAAUUAAGAAAAAAGUUAAAAUGAAGACAUUCACCAAAUAAUAUGAAAGAAUACUUGUAUAAAAUUAGAUAUUUUAUUCUUUUAUAUUAUUUGGUGAAAUUGGGCCCAAGCCCAAUUGUUCUUUUAUUUAUUUUUAUAGAAAUUUUGAGAUUACAUUCAUAAUGUUGGGAUUAAAAUUUUGAUAUAAAUAAAUAAAUAUAUAUAUUUUACUUUAACGUUUGCUUCCAAUUUAUUAUAACUUAUAAUUAUAGUUUUCUUAGAGAUUCUUUUAUUUUUAUAUAACCAGUGUGAAAUUAUUAUUAUGUAAACGUGUUGUCAUUUGUCUUUAUUGAAUUUUUUCAUGCGUUUGACAGCAAAAUAAUAAUAACAAUAGUAAUGUAAAGGACUCACUAGUGUAGUAGUUUGGGGCAAUUGUUUUCCCAAGAAAGGUCCUGGAUUUUAGUCCUAUCUUGUGUGUGAGCAGUGGUGGAGCCAGGAUUUCACAUUAGAGGGGCCCCUUCACAAAAUUUUAAAAAGUAAUCCAAAUAGGAGAGUUCAAGCGCUAACCGAUUAAUAAGUUAAUGCGAUACUAACUACUCGGUUUAGCCCGCAUCAUAAUAUCAUUUCAUAUUGGUUAAUAAUUUAUCGAUUCAUUACAAUCAUAAUUGUCUUGAAUUUCAUAUUUUAACAUUGUUGAAUAUUAAUCUCAUCGUCUACACUAUUAAAGGUUCAAAAGUUAAUAAUUUAUAUUCCAACAGAGAGAAGAAGUACAAAAAAAGUUCAUAAAUCCCAAUAUUACGGUACCCUACUUAGACAUAUAAAAAAGGAGGGAAAAAAAUUCACAAAGCUUAAGUUAAACAAAAGCGGAAAAGAAAGAGAAAAAAGAAUUAGGAGUUUUUAGUGCAAAUAUCAUAACUCUAACCUAGAAGUUUUAAGGGAAAGUAGAAGAGUGAUUAGUAACUUUUAUGGUUAAUUUGUAGACAAAAAUAACAUAAUAUUUUAUUUAUUUUAGAGUAAAUAUCCCAAAAAUAAUCUAAUAUAUUAUAAUAUUAUAUAUCAUAUAUAAGGAAACUUUUUUGAACCAUUGGAUGUUACAUCCAACGGUGGGUGACCACAGUCUCUUGGACCCCUGUGGUCCAAGAGAUCGGGGAUGUCUGUAUAUAUAAAGCAAAAGGCAAAGAAUGGUAAAACAUUCAAAAUAUCAGAAAAUGUUCUUGGUUAAUACAAACAUUAAUAAUUGAAAUUAUUAAUUAAAUGAGAAUAAUAUGGUAAAUUAGCACAUUUUCAUAUUAAAAAUUAAAAUUAAAAGAAAACUUAAAUAAUAAAUACUAUUUUUAUGAAACACAACAACCAUUAUCUUUUUUUAUAGUCGUGCAAGUUUACUUAAGAUUUAUAAACAACAUUAUCCUAGUAGAAGCGCUCUUGCCAACAAGUGAUCCAAUAUUUUGAGAAACGUAAAUAGAGAUUAUUAUAAAUUAAAUUAAGAGAAAAUGACUAAGUUGAUCCUUCUAUCUUGGGUAUUUUUCCGCUAGGUCCCAUAACUAGAGAGGUGGCAUAAGGGCGGAUAUACACUUGAGUUAGUGGGCUUCAGAUUUUUGUGUGUGUGUAGUUUUAGUUGUUUAAGCUAAAUAUAGGUAAAGUAAAUAAUAGUCUAGCCCUUUAUUUAAAAUAAGCUAAGCUCUUUAUGUAGAAAUAAGCCCACUCUGGAAGCAUAUAGGAAAUAGUAAACAUGCAAUCCAUAACCUAUAUAAAUUUGAUUAGAAGCAAACAUCAGAAUUUUUCUUCUAGCCACCCAAAACAUCAUAUUUGAACCUUCAGAGCCUAGAAUAAAUAGCUCUCUCCCUCUGAAAAAUUGUACCAACCUAUUUUAAGUGGGUUCGCCAAUCUUGAUAAGUUUUUCUUUUUAUUUAUUUAUUCAAUUUCCAAUUUGAAUUGUUGUUGUUAAGUUUUUAUGAUUUAGGGUUUAUGUGAAAAUUUUUGGGGAUUGUUAUAUAUGUUUUAUUUUUGCAACUUAAAUUAUUAAUUAGUAUAUAUGAUUUUUGGUGUCUAGUAUUUCUUGUUAGGAUAUCAUGUCACAUGAUUAUAAUAGACCAACAAAGAGAGGAAAAACUAUUCUUCAAAAAAAGGGGUAACGAUAACAAGGAUAUACAUACACCUUCUGCAUAUAAUGUUGAUACUUCAAUUCCUGAGAAACUUUCUCAACUCGGAUCUCAAGUAGUUGAACAAUGUGUUUGAUUUGAUAUUUGUUUAUAUUUGGUAUUUCUUUGUGUGAUAUUUGCUCGUAAUGUGACCUUCUUUGAUUUAUAAAAUUUAUUCACAUUUUUGUUUCAAGAGGAAAAAUAAAAAAAGGCUUAUAAUAUAUCUCCUGUAAAAAUAAAAAUAAAAAAUAGCUUAGUCCUAUAAAAAUUCCUGGAUUCGCCAUUGGUAGCACAUCAAACCAAAAACCAAGAUCCUCCUAACUAAGACCAUAACAUGCAAUACGAUCGACAACUCCAUUAGCAGUCCGAGAAACAUGGUGAACAGAAUAAGACGACACUGAGUUGAAAAGACGACGAAUAUCCUUCACUAAACCCCCUUUUGCAGCAAAACAAACAUCGUACUUACUUCUAGUUGUAGAUUAAGUAAACUAAAAAUCUCUAAUUAUCAAAAUUGAAACUAUAUAUAGGUCUUCAAGUGAAAAAUCAAGCAAAUUCUAAGGACCCGAAAUGUAAGUUGGACCUAUUUUAAUGUUUUAAUGUACAUUGUACGAAGUUGUGUACAUCAUCGUUGUCGUGUACGCUAUACACGGCUGCUAUAGAACGAGGCGGAUGAAAUGAAAGUAGGCGUGACAAAUGUGACGACAAUUAUUAGAGGCAUGAACGAAUCUGCCGUCCACAAAUAAUCGAAAUACAAUAAAAUAAAAUAGUAAGAGCAAGACACGAUUGGCUUGUUUAAGGCUGAACAAAAGCAAACCCUACAGCUUUCCCCACUUGCUUAAAUUGUUUUCACGUUUAUUUCCUGCGACUUUUUUGUCCUCCUCCUCAUGGGACCCUGAAAAACUGACAUCCCAUUAUGUGCAUGAACAUUUCUAUUUUUAUUUUUAUUUUUAAAUUGGUGAAAGCGAUUUUGGUCAUAGAGCAUUAAAAAUCUUUACAUGGAUUGGAGAUUGUAAAGGUUCAAUAUCUUUAAUGUACCGAAAAGAAAGUCGACAUAGUAGAAAAUAAUAAUAACUGAUUAUAAAUAAAAUUAGAAAUUACGAUGUCAAGUGUUGAAAAAAAAGAUAGCGAUUUUUAUGCUCUAAGUUUAGUAUGUGUACGUAGAAAAAUGACAAAAUAUUUAGUUUGGAGUGCAAAGGUUAAGCUGAUAGUGCCAAAAUCGUUACCCGAAAAAUCACUUUGGCUUGGUCAUAUUCAUACUAGUCUGCUAACACAAAGAAUGAGAAUUCUUACUUGAAUUUUCUUUGGCUCAUUGAUGGCUUGACUAUUCCCUUGAAUUUUCUUUUACCCCAAAAAUGAAAUAUGAAGUAAUUAUUCUUAUUAUUAUUAUUAUUAUUAUUAUUUUGAGGUUAUUUCCUAUUGAAAGGGGCGAUAGACUAAGAUUCGAACCCAGGACUUUGCCUGAGGGAGUAAAAUUCCAAAUCACUACACUAAUGGGUCAUUUGCAAUAUGAAGUAAUUUUUAUAGAGGAAGAAGGAGGGGUUUUUCUGAAAAGGGUGGUGGUGGUGACUCUGGAUUGAAGGAAGGGGUGUGGCUGGAGAUGGUGCUUAAGGGUAUGGGCCGAGGAAGGGGUGCAACUGGGGAUGGUUGCUAGAUAGGGGUCGGAUUCCUCAUGGACUGGUAGCUUUCAAAGAAGAUGAUAGGGGCAUCGUCAUCGUGGUUGGUGAUGUCGCUCGAUAGGGUCUUGAAGAUGUGUUGGGUUGAAGCUGAAACGAGGUUAUUGUUUUGUCUCUUUAAUUGUGUUUCUUCCUUCUCAUUAUUUGGUGUUUCAAAUUUUUAAUUAAGAUUUUUAAUCUUAUCUCUUAAUUUUGAAUGUAAUUUUUAACUUUAUCGUAACAACGAAAUCAUAUCAUCACUAGCCACCAGGUUCAUAUGUCACAUCAUCUUUUGAUGAUCAUUUUUAACAAUAAAUUAUCACUAUUUCGUAAACGUGCCGACACUAAAAUAUUCAAAUUGAAAAACACGAUUUAACCAUGCUAUUUGAUGAAAGAUUCAAUGUACUAAGCUGAAAUUAACCUUGUAAUAUAUUACUUCUUUUUUCACUUUCCUCUUUCUGCUGAAUAUUGAAAGAUAUACAAGACCAGCCUUGGUGGAAAACCAUGUCCUCAUUCAUGGACCCUCAUAGAAAUCAUUAUCUUUUCGUAAAGUGUGGUGCAAGCGAUAGUGACAACAUCCACAUUCGCACCAUGUGAUUAUCUAACGAAUCUAUUUUUCUAACAGGAGUGAGUGAAAUCAGUUGGUCAAAUUAGUGUGUUGAUUUUUUGCAUUUUAGUUCGAUUCUGCGUUCUGUACGUUAGACUAAAAUAUCACUUUAUAAAAAAUAAAAAUAAAACCCACCAAGUGAAGAAGCAAAGCUACGCACCUGAGGGUUCUUUUUUCCUCUUUUGUUUGGUUCAACCUGAGGGUCACCUUCUGGAAGCAGGACAAGCUUUUGUUUACAACUAUUAGCUUCUGUACUUUGUGAUUUUUGUUUUGCAAUUGAUUCUUGCUCAAUAAAAUAUUUGUAUUAUUAAAAAAAAUGCAAAAAGAAAAGAAAAAGAAAAAGAUUCCUGAACAAAAAAAAACAAAACAAUCUCUUAGCAGAAGAAACAAAAAGGGGAUAAAAUAAUAAUGGAUUCAAAAAUUAGACGACAAAAGAACAAACAAAUUUGAGAGAUUAAAACAGAUUAGCUUGUAUUGCAAUGGGAAGAGAACGACGUCGUAGUGGACUCUCAGUGGACCCCGUUGAAAAUGUUGGCGUUCGUGACGAUAAGGUUCAUGGGUUUUAACGAAAAAAAAAAACAAAGGAUAAGAUAAGUAUUUUUUUUUUUUUAAAGAUGGGGAGGAUUUUUCACAUGGGAAGGAGGAAUGUUACACGUGCCUAACAAAACAAAAAUAAAAAAGAAAAAAAAGAAAAAAAAGAAGGGAAACGUGCUUUUACGACACGCAUCAAGCAAAACGUGUUUUUAAAUAUUUAAACCGUGUAUUAUUAUACGCGAGCAAAUUGUAAUAAAUUAAUGAUUAUCUGGUGUGGGAAUUUUGAAAACGAGGGAAAGGACGAAUGGGGGGCGACCAGAUCAAGGGCCAGGAUUCGAUCUGUGAAGCCAACGCGUCCCCACCCUUUUUGUCUUUUAUGUUUUAUAUUCCGUCGUUGAGUCGUUGAGUCGUUGUCCGCUACUCGAUUCAAAGUAAUUAACCUGAGAGGAAAACAGGAGCUUCAGAUGGAUUGCCGAUUAGUUCGAUGGCGUGCGCCGAGGAUUUGGAUUUUCACUGCUGCUGCCGAGAGGCGGCUACUUCGUGGAAGCUAACUGUAGAAAGGUGAUGAUUAAACUCCCGAACAAUGGAUUUUAGAACAGUUUUUGCAUCUCAACUGUUGUUUACUAAUCUUCGUAUUGGAAAUGUCACCAUUGCGACAGCUCAUUGCUUAAGUCACAAUUUAGAAGUAAUAUCUUUAGAAAAAUAAUUAGAGAUCGUUUAAUAAUGCAUGUGUGUGGAACAAAUUUUAUGAUUUUAGUAACAUUAAGAUCCUUAUGAUGAAUUGAGUAUUUAUUUGAUACAUAUGGAUAACUAAACGAUCUCCAACUAAUUUUUUUAUAUAGAUGAACAGUUUCAAUUAUGACAUAUUCACAAGGAGGAUUUGUUAAUCAUAAGAACUAUAGUGGCCGAGGAAGUGCACCCGGAAGAUCCUUCGUUAAAAUAGCAAAUAAUAGCAUUGCAUUUGUACAUUGUGUUUGAUAAUCAUUUUACUUUUCAUUUUUACCAUAUUGAAAACAAAAAACUUGUAUUGCAACCAAUUUUAGUUUUAGUUUUUUUUUAAAAAACCAAAAACUGUUUAAAAGUUGUUUUAAACUAUUUUCAAUUUUUUGCGGAACUUGGAUAUUGAAUUUUGUUGGGGUCAAAUUAUGAAUUUGAGAUCAUAGAAUGAAAGUACAUGUUAUAAAGGGUCUGUAGUAUUUUUCGAUGAAUUUUUUGGAAGUUAGGAUGAUUUUAUUUAUUUAUUUAUUGUAAUUUUGGAUAUGGAGGUCCCAAGGAUUGGAUUGGGUAUGCGACCAAAUGCAAGUGUCGAGCGCAUGGGUCCAAGUCCGGAGGUCCUAACCGCUAUGCAUUACAUUUUUGGUGAUGUAAAAUUGGUGAAUGAGAAAGGAGCGAAAAAAGAAAAAGAAAAAAGGAAAACUGAAAACACUUUCAAGUUGUUUUAACAAAUAGGGGAGGUUUUGAAAACAAGCCACCACUUCAUUUUUACCCUUUCUCCUCCACUAAACUAUUUACUUAGACGCUUUGAAGCUCUAAGGAACUCUCUCUAUAAAAAAAAAACCCUUAGGAACCAACUCUAGCCACCGCUGCCCUUUUGGGGGUGGUGGCAUCCUUCUCCACCCAUCUCCACCUCUCUCCCCUCCUCUCCUUCUCUACCCUACCAUUCCCUCCCAUCCCCUCCCCUCCCUUCUUCGCCCAUCCCCUCCCCAAUUUUUGGUGAGGAUGAAGUAGUAGUGUAUUGGUAGUUUUGUUGGUGAAUUUGAUGACAAACGAGGUGGUUGUGUGGGUUUUACUCACUUGUUGUGUGUUUACAAUGUCUUGAACUGUAAUAAUUGCAUCAACUGUUUGUUUGUAGUCUAUUCUCUACUUGUGAGAGUUGUAAUUGUAUUGGUAGUUUUAGACAACAAACCACUGCCGCUUUGUGUUAUCGUUGAACACAAUCUUAUAUUUAUUUCUUUUAGAUAUGAUAGUUAUUCAAGGAGAUAAUAUUCUCAUACUAUAAAGAUCAAUACCAAUAUCUGCAGCAAAUAAAUAAUUUUGGUAUUUAUGUGAUGACUUUAAGACUUAAAUAUGAGGGAGAUAGCGAAAAGAUUGAGCAUUAUUGGAAUUACUCAUGUAACUUGCCAUGGAAUGUAUAAAAUAUAAAAUAUGAUAGUAAAUCAUUAUAAAUAUAGAAAAGAUUAGAGUGUAUUUUAACACUCUUUCAUUCUAAAGUUCCUUAUUUUCUUUUUCUUUUUUUUAUAAUUAAUUUAUUUUAAUUUAUAAAUUUUUUUUAUACAAUUGCCGUAGUUUUAUAAAAAUUUUACUGACAACGAUAAUUUGUCGAUGUUUCCAUGUUUUUGGACUACUGAUAUUUCCAAAACCAUCAAUAUUUAAGACCACACGCAUAUCCCCCACGCUCUCCUUCACACACAUAUCUUCUUAAUAGGUAUGUAAGAUAAAUUUAACCCACCGCAUUUUGAAAUUUUGGAUCCGUUCCUAGCUUGUGUGGCUUAUGGUCUUUAUGCCAAAUUUAUGACUACAAAUUACAAUUAUCAUUUUCUCUCUAGAAAGGGUGAUUUUGAAAAUUAAAUUUCAUUUUUUAAAAAACAGAAAACAAAAUAUGUAUCAAACAUGUUUUUAGUUUUUUUUUAAAAAAAGUAAAAAUGAAAUUGUUAUCAAAUAUCGGUAAGACCCUAAGAAAAUGAAUCUAGUAAUAUACUUAUCAAUGCGACUAAUUUAACUGCAUAUGCUCUAAUUAGUAUUGGCCAAGUCUUCUUUUUUCCAUCUUUAGUGGCCAGUUAGUUUUUUUGAAAUUCUUCUUUUCUCAUCUACCUAUAGUGAAGUUGUUGCUCAUGAGAUUGCUCACCAAAUCUUAUAUUUUUUUUUAUUGGGUUUUACAUGAAAAUUUAAUUUGGCAACUAAGAAAAAAAUCUAGCCAAAUUGGUCACUGUGUUUUCCUAAGUGUACAAUUUAUAGACAUAUAUUUUAUAAGUUAAGUGCAUUUUUUUUAUAGGAAGUACUUUCAAUCUUCUUCCUUUAACUCAACGAGUUAGGGUAUAUUGUGCUAUUAGGGUUUAACAAAUUGGGGGAAGAUUAAAUGUGCUUUACAACAAUCUGUUAGAGGGCAUCACAAGUAGAGGAAGAACAUUAAACGUGCUUUGUAAAAAAAUAAAAAAUAAAAACUGCACUUAACGGAAGAUAAUAGAAUGUCUAUAAAUUGUAAACUUUGGAAAACACAGUGACUAAUUUGGCUUAUUUUUUGCUCAGUGACCAAAUUGAAUUUUCGUGCAAAACCUAGUGACCAAAAAGGUAUUUAACCAAUAAAAAAUAGGUUUAAGUGCUACAGUGCACCUUGAAACAUUAGUCAAAUCCUCUUUUACCCCCUUAAAGUCAAAGUGACACACUUUGCCCAUUGACCAAGGUUUGAUGUUUCACAUUGCCCCUACCGUAACUCCAUCAAAAUGUCCGUUAAGUUUGAUGAUGUGGCAGGGGUGUGUUAGUAAUUUUGAAGGAAAAUGACUUCCUAUGUCAUUUCUCAAUGGAUGGGAAAUGAAGAUUCUUUUCCUAUGUUUGGUAAUUCUGGGAAAGUAAUCAAGAAAUACCACUUUAUUUCCUUUCACAUGUUUGGUUUAUGUAGGAAUAUAAAACAAAGUUGGUUUAAUUUUUCAUGUAUACCCAUAUGAAAUCAAAUAAAAAAAAUGCAUUUAAUGCUAUAUUAUAAUUCUAAAUUGUUAAUGAGGACAAUAUGAUCAUGAAAAAUGUGUAUUUAAUUUUGGCUCAUAACUUUCCCGUGAGGAGGAAAACAAAACCCAAGUGGGUUGGAGGGCUUCACUUUCCCCCUACUUUUCCAUGUGCAAGACAACGAUUUCCCAUGUUUGGAAUUACCAAACAUGGGAAAAUAAUUGAUUUCCCCAUCCCCAAGCCUCUUUUUCCAUGAACCAAACAAGAGUAAAAUGGGAUUUGACUUUUCAGAAUGAAUUAAGCCUAAAAAAUUAUACUAAUUUUAUCAUUUAUGUGCAGCAUUCCACAUAUAAGAAGUCGACUAAUAAUUUUAAUUGUUCAUAUAAAUAUCUAAUUAUUAAUCAUCUGAUGUUUGAAGUAAUUAAUUCAAUACAAAAGAUUAUGCCGUUAUAAGUUUUUGAAUAGAUUCAGCUUUUUAUCCCAGGAUAACUAAUUCUAAAAAAAAAAAAAGUUUCCGAAUAGAUUCAGCCUUUAUUCUAGUGGAAAAAUAAAUUCAACCUUUUAUUCCAGUCAAAAGAUUAUGCAGUCAAACUUUUACUCCAUUACUCAUGUGAAAUAAAGAUCUUGGAAAAUCACCUUAUCCCAAAAACGCACAUUUCUAUUGUUAUCAUCAUUUUCCAGUUAAACUUACGUUUUUGUAAUAAAUAAGCCACGCCUCCGCACGUGAUUAUGGUGUUAGUGUUGCAACUUGCAGUGUCGGAAGUCCAAACUCCAAAGCCCAUUUCCGAAUGGUCAAAAGUCAAAGUGUUUCCAGCUGUGACACUUGUAACGCACGUGACGCACGUCCAAGCUUUAGAUAGAUGUAUGUACAUACGCCGGCUUUUGGAUGAUCUACGCUGGCGAUUAAAUCGGCCAACCCGAUUUUCCCCGAAACUCCCCCUUCCUUUUUACUCGGCUUGCGCUAGUAAACUUUUUGUCCGCUCACUCUCUCCUCCACCCUCCACCCACUUUCCUCCCCAACCAAAAUUCAGCUCAAAUGCUCUCCAAAUAAAUCCCCAAACACAAAUUCAGAACUCCCCAAAUCAAAAUUAUCUCUCUCUACCUUCUCAUUUUCUCUCCGCACCCUAUCCUCUCUUUGUCGUCCACACCUACUCUUACGUCACUAAGACGGUAUCGCUCACAUGACGGACUAUCGGAUACCGCCGACGAUGAAUCUUUGGACGGACGACAACGCGUCGCUGAUGGAGGCCUUUAUGAGCUCAUCCGAUCUGACGUCGUUUUGGGCGGCGCCAUCGGCCCAGCCCACGCCUCAACCCGCUCACCCCCAAGCCCAGCCUCAGUCGUCAGCCUCCACUUCAGACUACCCGAAGGCGGCUGCUGUCGCGCCAUCUCAGCCGUCCAUCACGCCCUUCAACCAGGAGACCCUCAUGCAGCGCCUCCAGGCCCUCAUCGAAGGCGCUCGUGAGAGCUGGACCUACGCCAUCUUCUGGCAGUCCUCGUACGACUACUCCGGCGGCACCGUUCUCGGGUGGGGUGAAGGGUUUUACAAGGACGAGAGGGACAAAGGCAAGGCUAAGGCCAAAACGACGACGUCCGCCGCCGACCAGGAGUACAGGAAAAAAGUCCUCCGCGAGCUCAACUCCUUGAUUUCCGGCGCCGACACGUCAGCAGACGACGCAGUAGUGGAUCAGGAGGUGACCGAUACCGAGUGGUUCUUCCUGGUCUCGAUGACUCAGUCGUUCGUCCCCGGCGGCGGGCUUCCGGGUCAGGCCUUCUUUCACUCGACCCCGGUCUGGGUUGCUGGAGACCGGCUGGCUGCGUCCCCGUGCGAGCGGGCGAGACAGGGCCAGUUGUUUGGGCUGCAGACUAUGGUUUGCGUUCCGACGGCAAAUGGGGUGGUUGAGCUGGGCUCGACGGAGCUCAUCUACCAGAGCUCGGAUCUGACAAACAAAGUCCGGGUUUUGUUCAAUUUCAACAAUUUGGAAGUGGGUUCGUGGCCUAUGGGCGGCGGCGGUGCCGAUCAGGGAGAAAAUGACCCGUCGUCGCUCUGGAUUAACGAUCCGUCGUCCACCACCAUCGAAGUCAAGGACCCGGUGAACAUGGCUCCCGUUACUUCGGCACCCACCAGCACCAGCACACAGCCCGUCUCGAAGCCAAUUCAGUUCGAAAGCCACCAGCCGAGUUCCAGUAGCUUAUCGGAGAACCCGAGCGCGAUUCAAUUACAACAAUCGCAGCAGCAGCAGCAAGUACAGCAGCAGACGCAAAGCUUCUUCACCAGGGAGCUCAAUUUUUCCGAUUAUGGUUACGACGGGAGCAGCGGGAAGAACUCCAAUUCCAAUUCCCAUUCGUUGAAGCCUGAAUCGGGGGAGAUUUUGAGUUUCGGUGAGAGCAAGAGGAGCUCUUACAGCGCCAACGGAAAAUUGUUUUCAGGGCACUCCCAAAUUGCCGCCGCCGAGGAUAACAACAGCAAGAAGAAGAGGUCGCCGACCUCUCGCGGCAGCAACGACGAGGGGAUCUUGUCGUUUAGCUCGGGGGUGAUUUUGCCGUCCAGUGGUGUCGUGAAAUCGGGCGGCGGUGGGGCCGCCGAUUCGGACCACUCCGACCUUGAAGCCUCGGUGGUUCGGGAGACUGAUAGUAGCCGGGUUGUGGACCCCGAAAAACGACCGAGAAAACGGGGUCGUAAACCGGCCAACGGGAGAGAAGAGCCCCUGAACCACGUUGAAGCAGAGAGGCAAAGAAGAGAGAAGCUUAACCAGAGAUUCUAUGCUCUCCGAGCGGUGGUACCAAACGUGUCGAAAAUGGACAAGGCAUCGCUUCUGGGCGAUGCCAUAUCGUAUAUCAACGAGCUGAAGGCGAAGCUGCAGACAACCGAGAGCGAUAAGGAGGACUUGCAGAAGCAAUUGGAGUCGAUGAACCAGGACUUGGGUUGUAAAGACUCGAGUUCUCUGUCAGACGACCUCAAAAUGUCUAAACACCAAGCUAGUAGUAAAUUAAUAGACUUGGAUAUUGAUGUGAAGAUAAUCGGAUGGGACGCCAUGAUUCGAAUUCAGUGUUGCAAGAAGAACCACCCUGCAGCCAGAUUAAUGGCUUCUCUCAAAGAGCUUGAUUUGGAUGUACACCAUGCCAGCAUUUCUGUAGUCAAUGAUUUGAUGAUACAACAAGCCACUGUCAAAAUGGGCAGCCGAAUUUACACUCAGGAUCAGCUCAGGUUAGCUCUUUUAUCGAAAAUCGGCGACUCCCGGUAAGAAAAAUGGGAACCAGAGGAGAGGAGAAACAGAGAGUUUGUUUUGGAUUUCAAUGGUGGUUCAGGGCUUUUGGGACAUUUUGAGGCUCCCGACAAAGCAGCGAGCUCUGUUAGAUACUGGUUCCACGCGUUUCUCAUGUCUUCUUGGGUAGCAUUUUGUUUUAGUAUAGAUUGAGUUUGAGGAGCUGAAACAAUUUUCUUAGGUCCAAAACUACAUGGCUUCCUCCCCUUCAGUGAAAAUAGCUAUAUUUUUUUGUUCUGUUUUUGGGUGUCAAUUUUCUGUCUUUCUUCUUUGUAUAUAUAAGUGUUAUAAAUUUGAACCCCAUGGGAGUUCUGGUUAGUGAUGUAGAAGUACGUAUUUCAGAAUGUAACAUUUGUAAUCUGUUAUAUCCACUACUGAAUUCAGCAUUCAAACAAGUUGAACUUUCUUCAACUUUUAAUCUUCCCCUGUUAUCGUUGGAUUUCCUCAAUUUUUCUAUGCACAAGUUUUCAUCAAUUUGCUUGGUUUUUUUUUGGGGUAAAGACCUGGGCUUGCAGAUUUCAGGUGCAUGAAUUUGUUUGUGGCAAGUGGUUUUAUUUUAGUGCCAUGAAUUCAGCAUAUACCAGAAGGGUGAAAUUCUAGCUAUUAUACAAACGAUAAUUUACUUUAAAUUAAUUUAAAUUACGAGGAAGCGGAUUCGAAAUAUAUCUGCAUGGCAAAAGCCUUUUUAUGUUCCUACAGGUUAUCUAAAAAAUGCCCCAAAAUCCAAAAGGGCACACUUCGUGAAAGCCCUGGGGUCUAUUUUUGUUGCUGAAAAUGCACCGACACUAAUGGAUAAAAAAAGGAUGCAGCACACUUCGCCAUAUUUAGUAAUUGCAGUUACCAUUCUGUAAAUGGAGCAAAUAUUAUGCAUCAUGGAAGCAAGCGGUAAACAUAAAGGAACACCAAAAGAAGUUGGUUUCUCACUUUUUCUGAUUGUUUCUCUUUUACCUUGGCAUCCACAUUUCUCCUAAUAUAACCAAUGCUUUUUGCCUCAAUGCGGGUUUAAAAAGGGCUUGAAGAACAGCUCAUACGUGGUAAAUUUCCAGAACAUUGAGUAUCUCAUGAUUUUUUUUUUCUCCCCCACCUUUAUAGUAUAGGCAUUUUGGUACAGCACAGUAGAUACAUGUGUUUUUCAUUUCUGGAGUAGGAGAAGCAAUGAAUCAGAAUUCAGAAGAGGAGGAGAGAGAGAGUAAAAAAAAGAGCCUCAAAUGUUUAUUUUUGUUGUUCAUGUUCUAUUCAGUUCUGUUGGGUUCUUCUGGUGUGGCCCAGAAAGUGACCCUUCAUGCCUUGCAUUGCAUGACUCGAAUAUAAAGGGAUUUACUACCUAAUCAGAGACCAUUUUUAAUAAAAAAAUUUGUUUAGAAAUUAAUUCUUUUUGCUCAACUUGUGGUGUGGGUGUCUAUAUCAAUCAAUCAGCCUAUUUUUAAUUUUAAAGAAAUAUCAGCUGGCUAAUUUUGGGGUUGGGUUAAUUAUUUUAUUAGUCCCUGAAUUUAGAUUCGAUUUACAUUUGAGUCCUUCAAUUUUCAAAAUCAUUCCCGUGGUCCUUUAACUUCACUUUCAUUAGGACAAAUGGUCAUGCAGUCAAUUUUGUUAACUUUUUCUGUUAAAUGCAGUGGCAAAAUGGUAUUUUUAUAUUAAAACCAAAAAAAUGAAUGAAAAAUCAUAUCUUGAAAAUAACAAUAUAAAAAAAUCAAAUAAAAAACCAAAAAAGAAAAAAAAAAGUUUGGGGGAGUAGAAAUCGGGAUUUUUUUUUGGGGGGGGGGGGGGGGGGGGGUUUCCGGGCGUUAUAUUAAUUUUAUUUUCCUCUUUUAAUCAAUUUAAUACAAAAAUACCAUUUUGCCCUUGCAUUUAACAGAAAAGUUAACAAAAUUGAUGGCAGGACCAUUUGUCCUAACGAAACUAAAGUUGAAAUACCACGGGAAUGAUUUUGGAAAUUGAGGGACUCAAAUGCAAAUUGGGUUUGAGCUCAGGGACUAAUAAAACUAUUAACCCUUUUGGGGUUUAAACCCCUUCAUAUGUCUUCUUUUAUUUAUGUUUAUAUUAAUCGGGAUAGGAGUUUGAACUUGCAAUCUCUUUCAAUAUUGUGAAAAGAAUACCACUAGAACAAGAUUUAGUUGUAGAUAGUGUGAAAAAAACCUUUACACUUAAUAAAAAAGCACAAAUAAACUAUAUAGAUUGUGAGACUAUGUGUAUUUUUUAAAAAGUGUGUGAUUAGGCGAAUCAAUUUUUCACGGUAGCAUAUGAGGAUUUAAGGCAAGAUGUGAAGAGGAUUUAAAAUCAAGGAUUAGAUUCACUAGGAACUUGUUAAGUGUAGAAACCUAUACUAUUAUUACUAUUUGUGUUUAAUUAGUUGUUUUGUUAAAGUUUAUUAGUAAUUUUUUUUAUUGCUUAUGUUAUUGUAGGGUUUUAUUCUCUUUAAGUUUCGGUUCAUAUUUUAAUCUGGAUUUGAAAAAAAAAAAAAGGUUUCUUCAUCACAUUUAGCAUGACAUUUUCAAACGAUGAAUAGGGAGACUAAACUUUACCAGACACAACUUUGCUUUGGUUCAAACUUCUGAUCACCCUCAUCUCUAUGUCCCGGAAAAUGGAUGAUUUCAUGGAAUUUCGUUCAAGCUAUGUGAAUGAACAGCCCGGUUUUGGUAGGAAAUGCUGUAUGAUUUAGUGAUCGGGAUAGUUGAGGCUUAGGUUCUUCUUAAGCUGAAAAUUUAGGCAUACGUUCCAAAGAGGAAGAAACUAAAAUGAAAGUUUCUGUCUAAUCAGUUUCAUAUGAAUACAUACCAAUAGUUUCUCGACUUUCAGAUCAGAAAUGUUGCUAUCUAGCUAUACCUAGGAAAUAACUCAACUCUAAAAUUAAAUUUAACUAAAACAUAUAUCUAUCUAUCUAACAACAUUCUAAGAUAACACAGAUAACAAUAUAUCAGGCGCUCGGAUCAGGUGAGAACAGCUAUGUGAGAACCUUAUAUGAAAAUCAAUCGCAGCCGUUGAAAUGCAUAUGAACGGUUUAGGAGAAAAAGCAAGCUUACGGUACAAACGGGUAAGCUGCAAUUUCUCCUUAGCCCAUGUGUCAAGUCGAGCCUGUUUCGGAAAAAAACUAGCCUUUGUUCUUCUUGACAGUUGUGCCUUUCUUCUCAAUGAAUUUAUGAAUGAACCCUAAUCAUAACAUCCAAAAUUUCACAUACCAGACAUAAAUUUGUAUAUUCCUUUUCUCUUGUCGCAGAAACUCCCUAGUCUACUCUUUUUCUUUCACUUUCUCUUCUGUUGUCGCAAAACCUCCCUAUUCUAGUCUUUCUCAUAUAAAUGUCUAAAUCGGUAUGUUUCUCUUGAAUUCCCUCUCUCUUUCAUAUUAAGAUUUGCAUGUUAUAUUGCAUUCACUUAAUGUUUAAAUUUUGUUUAGGAUUUUAGGGCUUUGAUUUUUUGGGUAAGAGUACUCUUUCUCCGUAGUAGUUGUGUUUGCAAAAAUAUAAAUUGGAAAUUGGCUUCAGUUGCUUUUUUGUGUUGUGUUUUCUAGUUUCUAUUAAUUUGUUGAAGCAUAGUAACUCUUUUUUUAAAGUUUUGCUGCAAUUUAAAUUCUUUCAUUUUUCCAAAAUUAGGGAUUUUUUUUGCAAUUCUUUGUAGUAAUUUGUUGAAGUGUAGAUUCACAGCUGUUGCUUCUUCCAUUUUUUUUUUUUUGGCAUUCUACAUGUUAGUUGUCUUUUCUUAAAAUUCCAGGAACCUUUAUCUGUUUGCUUUGACCCUUAUUGUAAUCCUACUUUGCCCAUCUAGUGGUGUGAGUGUAUGACAUCAUUUUAGUGAUUUAAUGGGGCUUGGAAAACAAAUAAUAAGUACCAUUAGAAGUAGAACACAGAAGAGAAAAUUGAAGAUCUUAAUUGUGAAUAUGAGAUGAUUUGGGAUGCAUAAGGAUCAAUGCAUCUUGUAGUAGGUAUCAAUUCUAUAUCUUAAUGUGUUGAAAAUAGUGUUGUUACGUAUCAGUUCUGUAUCUUAAUGUGUUGAAAUAGUGUGCAAGUGAAAAUUAUGUAUCAUUUUUGCAUCUUAAUGUUUGGAAAAUAGUUUAAUUAUGUAUCAAUUUUGUAUCUUAAUGUGUUGAAAAUAGUGUUUGUAGGUAUUAAUUAUGUAAAUGUGAUGAAAAUAUGUUGAGAAUAUUGUGACUAGGUAUCACGUC